rnacentral:lncRNA from 1 species
CCAGACGGUCUCCAAUCGCGACGAAAUUCGACAGGCGGCCUAGCUAUAUCUAAUCGCGACCACGUGCCAAGUUUCACCUCGAUCAGAGAGAGUUUUAAACGUGCUUUUAAAACAGGGUUUCGACGGUGCCGCGGGCGCGUGCGUGUGCGGUCGGACUCAGAACGGACGACGACGAGAACCGGCAACUACUAACAAAUGCAAGUUUUGAAUAUUGGAGGCAGCGGAGAUGCCGAUGCAAUGCUGAUGAUGCGCAUGAUGCGAUGAUGAUGCGUCAGAAUAAAAUAGACACACGACGAAAACGGAAAGGAAAGGGAAUCUUCUGGAACGUCGGCAUCGGGCUGUCACACGGGGGCCUCGGGCCGACCGAGAGAUGGAGGCGGCGCCGGCGCACGGGGAACGGCGGGCGAGGCCACGGCGCGCGACGGGGAGGCGCNNNNNNNNNNNNNNNNNNNNNNNNNNNNNNNNNNNNNNNNNNNNNNNNNNNNNNNNNNNNNNNNNNNNNNNNNNNNNNNNNNNNNNNNNNNNNNNNNNNNGGGGUUAUGUCUGACGUAGGUAGGUGUUCAGGAUCAUUCAUUUGAUCAACAGUAGUUCACGUCCGUUAUGCGUAGAUCUUCCGCCUCUUAUUUCUUGUACUCGUAAGUUUAGCCACCAGAUAUAUGCUUAGCCGCUGCUGCAACCUCACCACUUAACCAUACCUCACCCAGUAAGCUUUGCUAGUCUUGAUAGCCUUUGGAAAUGAGAUUGCUGAGUCUCUUGUGGCUCACAGAUUACUACAACACCAGUUGCAGGUACAUGUAAAGAUUACUUGACGCGAGCGCGUAGAUUGUUCAUUUGGAGUUGCUUCUUCUUCUUCUUCUUCUUCUUCUUCUUCUUCUUCAUCGGUCUAGGAUGGGUUCCAGGCCGGCAGCCUGGGAUAGCAAGGAUGGACGUCGUUNNNNNNNNNNUGGACCCUGCUCUUUCUUGAGAGAAGCCACUAGUGAACACUACGGCCCCCGGGUCUAUUCACACCUAUCGUUUCCACCUUCACUUUUACUUUGCUUGUUUACUUUGUUGCUUUCAGUUCUCACUUUGCAAACAAUCUAUAAGGGAUUGACAACCCCUUCAUAGCGUUGGGUGCAAGCUCUUUGUGUUUGUGCAGGUACUUGUGACUUGACGAGAUCUUCCAUUGGUUCGAUACCUUGGUUCUCAAAACUGAUGGAAAUACUUACCGCCGUUGUGCUACAUCACCCUUUCCUCUUCAAGGGAACACCAACGCAAGACUCCAAGGCCGCGGGGAAAUCCUUUGCAUAUUUGCCAAGGAAGUCCCUAAAGGCGUAGCCGUAGCAGCAGGAUUCCUGGCGCCCUACCAGGGAAGGUCUAUUGUCGCAGUAGGAGAAGGAUUUCUGGCACCGUUGCCGGGGAACGUCUGUUGUCGCAGUAGCAACGGGCUCGGGGUGGCGCGGGCGACGACGACGACAGGCUCGGGGAGACGAUGACGGCGAUGGGCUCGGGGGCGACGGCGACAGCGAUGGGCUCGGGGCGACAACGGGCUCGGGGCGACGGCGACGACGACGACGACGGCGGCGGCGACGGGCUCGGGGGCGACGACGACGAUGAGGAGAGAAGAGAACGGGGAAAUGUGAGUUGGUGGAAAUUUUGAUAAGUCCCGCCAUAUAUGCAAACACCUUUGGUUCGGGUUGGUGGCUGAAACCGGGACCAAUGCCACCCUUUCGUUCCGGUUGGAGCCACCAACAGGGACUAACGGUCAAUUUUUAGCAGCCCAAAAGGGCGGGAAGAAGAGACCUUUAGUACCGGUUGGUGGCUCCAACCGUGACGAAAGGAUGGUAUUGGUCCCGAUUUGAGCCACCAACUGGGUCCAAAGUGUGGUGCUGCCCGGGGCCAAACUUUUAGUCCCACCUCGCUAGCCGAGAGAGCUCGCGAGUGGUUUAUAAGCGUUGUUGCGCACACUGUGUCGAUCUCCUCUCAACUUCAGGUUUCUGGGCCUAAUCUGUCACUGCAUGUGGGCCUAUUGGGCCUUGUGCGGGCCUGAAUCCUGGCCCAACCAGCUGGUUGGGUUUCUAGUCGUAUUCAAGCCGCGGUGGCCCAGUACGUGGCAUUUAAAAAAAAUCUUGCUUUUUUGUUUUGUUUUUUACUUUAUUUAUUUUAUGUUGUUCAAAAGCACUACAAAUUAACUCUGAAAAGGUUGAAAGUUGGCAUGGUAUCACCAUUUCACCUACAUAGCAUGUGCUAAAAAGUUGAGAGGGUUAAGACAAAAACUGGAUGCACUUCGUGUACAAAACGGAGAGUCUCUUUCUAAGUAUGAGGGUUUCAUACGAAAACUCAUCUGUUACAAAGGGAUUUCAUUUUUUGAACUUAUUUGAACUCGAGACUUUUUGUGUAUCCAAAAUGCACCAUUCAAAGCCACCUCAUUAAUUUUCAACAAUUUUUGACUUCAUUUGGUAUUUUUCAUGCAUUUACUGAUUUUUUUGAGGCAAAUGACCAUGAAAUUUAAAAGUACUACAAAUGAACUCUGAAAAGGUUGACAGUUGGCAUCAUCAUUUCACCCACAUAGCAUGUGCUAAAAAGUUGAGAGGGUUAUGGCAAAAACUGGAUGCACUUCGUGUACAAAUCGGACAAUCUCUUUCAAAGUAUCAUGGUUUCAUACGAAAACUCAUCUGUUACAAAAGGCAUUUCAUUUCUUCACUUUUUCUUCGCUUGUGUUCUUUGCUUAUUGCGUCGUAACCAUGGAUAAUCUUCAUCGUUUAACACGGUGCUUGGAUCAGCCUUGACUUUGAAGGAACGAAUUUCAUGAAACUUUUCAUAAGCUUCAGACAUGUGUGUCUUGCCCUCUGAUGACCCACAAGUAUAGGGGAUCAAUCGUAGUCCUUUCGAUAAGUAAGAGUGUCGAACCCAACGAGGAGCAGAAGGAUCUAACAAGUGGUUUUCAGCAAGGUAAAAUCUGCAAGCACUGAAAUUAUCGGUAACAAGUGAUUGUGUGGUGAGAUGAUUCGUAGCAAGCAACAAGUAACAAAAGUAGCAACUGUGCAGCACAGUGGCCCAAUCCCUUUUGUAGCAAGGGACAAGCCUGGACAAAGUCUUAUAGGAGGAAAAAUGCUUCCGAGGACACACGGGAAUGUCUGUCAUGCUAGUUUUCACCAUGUUCAUAUGAUUCACGUUCGUUACUUUGAUAGUUUGAUAUGUGGCUCGACCGGCGCUUGGGUACUGCCCUUACUUGGACAAGCAUCCCACUUAUGAUUAACCCCUCUCGCAAGCAUCCGCAACUACGAAAGAAGAAUUAAGACAAAGUCUAACCAUAGCAUUAAACUAGUGGAUCCAAAUCAGCCCCUUACGAAGCAACGCAUACACUAGGGUUUAAGCUUCUGUCACUCUAGCAACCCAUCAUCUACUUACUACUUCCCAAUGCCUUCCUCUAGGCCCAAGUAAUGGUGAAGUGUUAUGUAGUCAACGUUCACAUAACACCACUAAAGGAAAAACAACAUAGAACACAUCAAAUUACCGAACGAAUACCAAAUUCACAUGACUAUUAUUAGCAUGACUUAUCCCAUGUCCUCAGGAACAAAAGUAACUAAUCACAAAGCAUAAUCAUAUUCAUGACCAAAGAGAUAAUGAGUAGCAUCAAGGAUCUGAACAUAAACUCUUCCACCAAGUAAUCCAACUAGCAUCAACUACAAAGAGUAAUUAACACCACUAGCAACCUUACAAGUACCAAUCGGAGUCGCGAGACGGAGAUUGGUUACAAGAGAUGAACUAGGGUUUGGAGAUGAGAUGGUGCUGAUGAAGAUGUUGAUGGUGACAAGUCCCCUUCGAUGAGAGGAGUGUUGGUGAUGAUGAUGGAGACGAUUUCCCCCUCCGGGAGGGAAGUUUCCCCGGCAGGAUCAUCUUGUCGGAGCUCUAGAUUGGUUUUGCUCAAGUUCCACCUCGUGGCGGCGGCGAAUCCACGAAAAAGCCUCCUCCUGUUUUUUUUCGGACGAAACCCUUCAUAUAGUAGAAGAGGGGGCAGAGGGUCAACUGGGUGCCCACAAGCCCCCUAGGCGCGGCCAGGGGGGUGGCCGCGCCUAGCAGGCUUGUAGCCACGUGCUGGCGCCCCUCUGGCACUUCUUCGGCCCAGUAUUUUUUAUAAUUCCCGAAAAAAAUCCUCGUUGAUUUUUACGGCGUUUGGAGUUGCGCAGAAUAGGUAUCUCAAACUUGCUCCUUUUUCAGACCAGAAUUCCAGCUACCGACAUUCUCCCUCUUCAUCUAAACCUUGCAAAAUAAGAGAGAAAAGGCAUAAGUAUUGUACCGUGAAGUGAAAUAACAGCCCAAGAAGCGAUAAAUAUCAACAUGAAAACAUGAUGCAAAAUGGACGUAUCACCCUCCAAUCCCACGAUGUCUCUUUUUCCUGAAAGAACUAUGUGGCGCUUUGGCUCAUCGUAUGAUGUAUCCGCUGCCUUAUAUUUUAUUUUUCUCGGUUUGGUAGACAUGUCCUUCACAUAGAAAACCUACGCCACAUCAUUGUCUAGGAGGAAUGGUUCGUUUUUGUACCCAACAUCACCAGGGUCAUCUCUUUUGAUCUUAUACCAUAAUGCACCGCAUACAGGGCAUGUGUUCAAAUCCUCGUAUGCAUCGCGGUAGAGGAUGCAGUAGGGCAUGCAUGUAUCUUCUGCACCUCCAAUCCUAGAGGGCAUAGAACCUUCUUUGCUUCGUACGUACUGCCGGGAAAUUCGUUAUCCUUUGGAAGCUUCUUCUUCAUUAUUUUCAGUAGCGAACUAAAUUCCUUGUCAGAUACAUCAUUGUGUGCCUUCCAUUGCAGCAAUUCCAGUGUGGUACCGAGCUUUGUGUUGUCAUAUUCGCAAUUUGGGUACAACCCUUUUUUGUGAUCCUCUAACAUGUGAUCGAACUUCAACUUUUCCUUUUCACUUUGGCAUUCUCUAUGUGCAUCAACAAUGACCUGACGAAGAUCAUCAUCGGGCACAUCGUCUGGUUCCUCUUGAUCUUUAGCUUCCUUCAUUGUAGCAUCACCGUAUUCGGGGAGGGGGGUAGUUUUCAUCAUCCUCUUCUUCUAUGUUGUCUUCCAUCAUAACCCCUCUUUCUCCAUGCUUGGUCCAAACAUUAUAGUGUGGCAUAAAACCCUUCUGAAGUAGGUGGAAGUAAAGUGUUUUCUAGUCGAAGAAAGCGUUCGUAUUCCCACAGACAGUACAUGGAUAAUGCAUAAAACCAUUCUGCUAGUUUGCCUCAGCCGCUUCGAGAAAAUUAUGCAGGCCCUUAAUAUACUCGGAGGUGCGUCGGUCACCGUACAUCCAUUGUCGGUUCAUCUGCGUGCGUUAUAUAAUAAAGUGUAUUAAAAACCGUUACAACAUAUCAUGAAUAGAGAAGUGACCAAAUUAAUGGAAAUUCAUCAUCACAUUAAAUCCAAAGUACAGUAUUGACCAAAAUAAAUACAUAACGUUCAUACAUAGUUCUCAUUAUUGAACAACAUAUAGCUCUCUAGAGCAUCUAAUUAUAACAUACAUUGAAACUAUAAAAUUUAAAUGCAACAAUAAAUGUGAUCAUAACCGCAACUAAGGUACCAAUUGAUCCAACGGCAUAAUGAUACCAAGCCUCAGUAUAAAUGGCAUAUUUUCUAAUCUUUCUAAUCUUCAAGCGCAUUGCAUCCAUAUUGAUCUUGAUCGACGACAUCGACAACAUCCAACUCCAAUAUCAUCUUCUCCUCUUCAACUCUUUGUAAUUUUUCUGUCAAGUAAUUGUUUUCUUUUUCAACCAAAUUUAACUUCUCGGCAAGAAUUUCUAUGUCGGUUGGAAUUUCCGGUUCACAUACCUUCUAGAUUAAAAAAUAUAUGUCAGGUUGGUCGGCAUAAUUGUCAUAAACACUAAAUAAAAAAAUAGUUAUAAAAGAUUUUAUAUAUAUAUAUAUAUACCACAUCGGAAUCAUAGACAGGACGAGGGUUGACGGAGGCGGAUACCAAAACCAUCGCACUAUGUAAUAACAAACAAUAAUAAAAGUAAGAAAAUUACAUAAGUAUCUAUAUAAAUCAUACAAGUAAUGACUUUUUUCUUUCAGAAAGAAGAUAAGAAGGUGCCGACGCCGAGAUGGGCGCGGGCGAUCGACGGCGGUGAGGACGGGGACGGGACAUGACAGACUACCAAAGCUACAUAAAACUUGAGGAAAAUGGAGCUUGGACAAGGCGAUUCGAGAGGAGAAAGCUUAAGUGUGGCUCGGGCAUUUCAUUGAACACCUCAUGUGUAUAGGAGGUGAGCUAGAGCACCACAAAGCUCUCCCACGGAUGGCCAAAAAAUAGAGCAGUGCACUGCUCUGCUCGGGGGCAGGGGUAUAUAUAGGCCAACCAUUGGUCCCGAUUUGUGGCUGGAACCGAGACUAAAGUUCAACAUUUGGUCCCGGUUCUAGCCACAAACCGGUACUAAUGGUUGUGGGCUAGGAGCGAGGCACAUUGGUCCUGGUUCAUGUCUGGAACCGGGACCAAAGGGGUCAUACGAACCGGGACCAAUGUCCCACGAGGCACGACCAGCGCCCUGGCCUCACGAACCGGGACCGAUGCCCCCAUGGGUCCCGGUUCGUGAGUGAACCGGGACUAAUGGGAUUUCAUCAAGUGGACCAAAGACCUCUUUGCUACUAGUGUCACCCCCUCUAGUUAACCAUAUCGAUCCCUUCAAUUGGUAUGAGAGCCUUGUCUCUUUACUAAGGGUUUCACCACCCAAAGAGUAUGCCUGAUGACGAGGACCGGGUUGGGGAGGUGCCCGAGGGAGCUCCUGCAAACUCGGUCACCCGAGAGGAAUUAAAUGAGGUCAUGUCCACAUGUAAAUCCUAAAAGGCUAUCGAAGUCAAGAACAUGCUUAAGGAUUUCCCUGAUAUUUACAAAUCGCCUACCGACCCGUUGUUGGUGGCUAAUCCCACAACUUCGGAUACGGGGGGCCAGUUCUAAAAAGAAAAAUGCUAGUAGUGAAAAAGAUAAAUCACCUCAAGGAAUGAGUGGGGCAAAUGCCUUUGCCUCAGUUACUCAUCCCAUGGUCUAUGGAGGACCGGUCCACCCACCGCAUAUUAUUAACCUCGGUCCUCCACCUAAGCUUGUUAAGAAUGAUUUUGCUAAUUGGGUUUUUCGUAUCAAGUCUCAUUUGAACCAUAGCUCAACACAACUUUGGAUAACAAUUGAGCUGGGGUACUACCUGCAUGAUCCAAGAAACCUCACGCCAAGAGAAGAGGCCGACAAUCAGCUCAAUCCCUUCGCCUUGUUCAUUCUUCAAGGAGUGGUACCUGUUGAAGACCUUCCUCACUUCGUCCCUUCAUUCGUGCCAAAGAUUAUAGGAAGCACAUCAUCUACAUGUACAAGGGAAGCUCUAGCAUUCAACGGUACAACUAUGAAGUUGUUCUUGAUGAGGCUGAUGAAUUUGCUAUGAUCGACGAUGAGUACCCUCGUGAACUAUAUCGAAGAGUUACAACUCUUGUUGUUGCUCUUCGGGAUCAUGGAAGCAAAGAUGUGGAUGCCACUUGGAUUAAACAUAAGUUUCUCAAUGCCAUAAUGCCUUUCAACAAGUCCAUGUCCUCCGUCAUUCGUCAAAGGCCGGACUUUCAUUCCUUGUCCUCAAGUGAUGUGCUAGAUGAGUUUAUUGCCAUGAACAUAUUGAACAAGACCACCGACACUGCUCUAGCCCGGGUUCAACGGUCAAGCCAACCUUGCUUUGAAGGCCAAGGCUGCUGUCACGCCCAAGAUGCGACCCUAUCCUCAAUUUGACACGGGGGCCUCAUCAGGGAUAGAAGCGCAUCUCGUCGUGUCGCAAGAACGGAUAUCGUUACAAGUACAUGUACUGAAAAGAAGAGAUAUAUAGAGAGNNNNNNNNNNNNNNNNNNNNNNNNNNNNNNNNNNNNNNNNNNNNNNNNNNNNNNNNNNNNNNNNNNNNNNNNNNNNNNNNNNNNNNNNNNNNNNNNNNNNCCUUCCACCUUUUACCAAGUAUAUAGGUGCAUUAAAUUAAAUAGCAUUAAUAGGGUGAUAUAACAAGGAACCCAUGUUAUCGCAUGGAAGCAAUGCCCCUGCAACUAGCAACGCUAACAACAGGGUUAGGCAAGCAGUAACAUAGCCAAUCAGUGGUUUGCUAGGUCGAACAGGUUGAAGGUAAUCAUGGCAUUGUUGAGAGGCUGAUAUUUAACAGGUGGUAGGCAACGAGACAUCAACGAUAGAAGCGAUAAACUAGCAUGGCAAUGAUAGUAAUGGUAUCUAGGGNNNNNNNNNNCGCAACUAGCAACGCUAACAACAGGGUUAAGCAAGCAGUAACAUAGCCAAUAAGUGGUUUGCUAGGUCGAACAGGUUGAAGGUAAUCAUGGCGUUGUUGAGAGGCUGAUAUUUAACAGGUGGUAGGCAACGAGACAUCAAUGAUAGAAGCGAUAAACUAGCAUGGCAAUGAUAGUAAUGGUAUCUAGGGAAAUGAUCAUCUUGCCUGAGAUCCCGCUUGGAAGAAGAACAACCCGGUGGAGUCGUCAAACCAUCGUGGUCGAACGGGUCCUCACAUUCCGACACGCUUGCGGAACUCUAUCGGAACGGAGCAANNNNNNNNNNUCGGUGGAGUCGGCAAACCAUCGUGGUAGAACAGGUCCUCACAUUCCGACACGCUUGCGGAACUCUAUCGGAACGAAGCAAACCGAAAACAACAUCAACACGGAUAUUCACCACACGAUGCACAACAUGAUGCACAGCCUACUAUGAUGCAUGAACAGGUUAAAAAGCAAGGCAUGGCAUGGCAAUUCGCCUCACACAAACUCUACACAUUAAGUGAAGCUCGAUAUGCAACGGGUUGCAUAUCGACGAAACUCCACGUAUAAUUAUUAGUUCACUCCCGUUAAUUUACCGGCAAGGUUAAAUGUGAUUUAACAUGGCAAGGGGUGAAGCGACGGUUUUACAUGGCAUCCUAGUAGGGUAACACGCGAGACAUAGACCGAAGCUACGGCANNNNNNNNNNUUUUAACAUGGCAAGGGAUGAAGCGACGGUUCUACGUGGCAUCCUAGUAGGGUAACACGCGAGACAUAGACCGAAGCUACGGCACAAGAGACAUGCAACACAAGAAUAUAUAUGCCAUGAAUGCCUCAUGCAUGCAAGAACAACAUCACAGCAAGAAGGGAAAGAAGCAUAUGUCGCCAUGGCGAGCGAGAGGGAACCAUGGUGGCGAAACGGAAACGAUGCCACGGCAACAUUCCUAUCACGACAAUUCGUCGAGAUACAGUGCCAACGAAUAGGGAGCGCGUGCGAGAACGGUAAAUAAAGAUGGGGUGAUCCCGGUUACCGGGUUCCCACGUGUCGGGGCUCAACGAGAGGAACACGUGCAAUGACAACAUAAGGCGCAAACAUAAUCAUCUCAUACAUCACAUGGAUACGGUUCACGCCACGUCUCAUCGGUAUACCUUCGAAGCGUGCGAAUCGGAAGGGUUCGGGUCAUUGAAGGAGAUCAACGAUCAUCGUGGUCGUGUGGAAGUAGUCGUACACGCGCCGGUAGUUGAAGUAGUGGUUCACGGUCUCGUCGACGGUAGUCAUACNNNNNNNNNNUCGAUCUUGCCAACGACCCACGACGGCGGGGAUGGUGCACGCGGUCUUCGCGAUGUUCCAACAGGCAACCGGGCAAGGCAANNNNNNNNNNAUGCGAAUCGAAGGGGUUCGGGUCGUUGAAGGAGAUCAACGAUCGUCGUGGUCGUCGUGGAAGUAGUCGUACACGUGCCGGUAGUUGAAGUAGUGGUUCACGGUCUCGUCGACGGUAGUCAUACUCUUGGCGUCGACAGACGGUCUUCGGCGUCGGUGGUCGUUCGCGAAUCCGAAGAUGUUCGGGGGUCAUCGGGGACGUCGUGGUACUCGNNNNNNNNNNNNNNNNNNNNNNNNNNNNNNNNNNNNNNNNNNNNNNNNNNNNNNNNNNNNNNNNNNNNCAGCAAGUGGCGACGGCAAGCGGCAGAACAAGCAAUAGCUAGCACCUAAGCAACUAACAACAGUAUCUAGCAGCAUCAAGUAAGCAGCAGCUAGCACAACAACAAGGCAAGCAGGAACUAGCUCGGCAGCAGCUAUGGCACCACAACAGCAACACAACCGGGCAACCCAAGCAGCAAUUUAGGAAUGGCAAGCGAAGCAGCAGAUCAGCGGCAGCUAAGCAAAGGCAGCAACGGCAAAUAGCAAGCGACACACGGCGACACAAGGGCCUCGGGCCAGCAGCAGCAAAGCUACGAUAGCAGCUAUCUAGCAGCAGCAAGGAAGCAACAACAUACAACAAAAAUAGCACGCAACACAUCUGCGGCUACACCACCAGCUGCCUACGACAGCAAAACCAAACGCAGCAGGAACAACAAGAGCUUCGGCAGGGCAACAGCAACACGAGAGGCCAUGGCACAACGGCGUUGGCGGGGGCCUCGGGCCGGCCGAGAGAUGGAGGCGGCGCCAGCGCACGGGGAACGGCGGGCGAGGCCACGGCGCGCGACGGGGAGGCGCNNNNNNNNNNCUAAGCAGCAGCUAGCACAACAACAAGGCAAGCAGCAACUAGCUCGGCAGCAGCUAUGUCACCACGACAGCAACACAACCGGGCAACCCAAGCAGCAAUUUAGCAACGGCAAGCGAAGCAGCAAAUCAGCGGCAGCUAAGCAAAGGCAGCAACGGCAAACAGCAAGUGGCACACGCAACACUGGGGCCUCGGGCCAGCAGCAGCAAAGCUACGAUAGCAGUUAUCUAGCAGCAGCAAGGAAGCAACAACAUACAACAAAAAUGGCACGCAACACAUCUGCAGCAACACCACCAGCAGCCUACGACAGCAAAACCAAACGCAGCAGCAACAGCAAGAGCUUAGGCAGGGCAACAGCAACACGAGAGGCCAUGGCACACCGGCGCUGGCGGGGUGUCACACCCAAGAUGCAACCCUAUCCUCAAUUUGGCACGAAGGCCUCGUCAGGGAUAGAAGCGCAUCUCGUCGUGUCGCAAGAAUGAAUAUCGUUACAAGUACAUGUACUGAAAAGAUGAGAUAUAUAUAUAGGAUUGGCUUCACUCGCCACAAGCUACAUCAGAGUCACAUCAGUACAUUACAUAACAUCAAGAGUAAGAGCAGGGUCCGACUACGGACGAAAAUAAACGACAAAAGAAGAAUGACGUCCAUCCUUGCUAUCCCAGGCUGUCGGCCUAGAACCCAUCCUAGAUCGAUGAUGAAGAAGAAGAAGAAGAAGCAACUCCAAAUGAUCAAUCAACGUGCUCGCGUCAAGUACCCUUUACCUGUACCUGCAACUGGUGUUGUAGUGAUCUGUGAGCCACAGGGGACUCAGCAAUCUCAUUUCCAAAGGUAUCAANNNNNNNNNNCAUGGUUAAGUGGUGAGGUUGCAGCAGCGGCUAAGCAUAUAUUUGGUGGCUAAACUUACGAGUACAAGAAAUGAGAGGGGGAAGAUCUACGUAUAGCGGACGUGAACUACGGAUGAUCAAAUGAAUGAUCCUGAACACCUACCUACGUCAGACAUAACCCCACCGUGUCCUCGAUCGGAAAAGGAACUCACGAAAGAGACAAUCACGGUUACGCACACAGUUGGCAAGUUUUAAUUAAGUUAACUUCAAGUUAUCUAGAACCAGUGUUAAACAAAGUAUCCACGUUGCCACAUAACCGCGGGCACGACUUUCCGAAAGAUUUAACCCUGCAGGGGUGCUCCAACUAGUCCAUCACAAAUUGCCACAAGCCGCAUAGAAAUCCUCAAUCACGAAGCUCGCGAUCUCGUCGGAUUCCCUAAUGGAAAAACCUCAACUCUGGGAUUACCCAAAUCAUCACUUGAAUCCCGAUGCAGAAGAUAUCUCGUCAAAGGUAAAACUAAUCUAGCAAGGCCGCCCGGCGUGUCGACGAACCAGAUAGGAGCCGCGUAUCUCGUUCUCAGGACACGACGGAUAAGCACAGCGUACGGUGGCCUGAUAGAAAUCUCCCGAGUUACCCCGGGUUGGCCCUGCAAACGGCUAUAGUUUUGGACCAGCACCAACAACACUGGCCCCCCUGUAUUAUGUAGAAUUUCUCCUCGGGUAGCGCUAACUCCCUAUGCAAAUCAAUUUAACAGAAUUAUUAUGUUGGGCAAAAGUAGUACCAAUGUUGGGCCUUGCCAGACCAGCUUUAAUCUAAAACGAAUCAUCAAGGGGGUCCCCAUAACAACCCCGAUCGUGUUAGGAGCGCUCGUUUAUGGAACAUAACGCCAGUAGCCGGAACUAAGGGGGCAAAGGUGGAACAAAACACCAGGCUAGAAAGGCCGAGCCUUCCACCUUUUACCAAGUAUAUAGGUGCAUUAAAUUAAAUAGCAUUAAGAUAGUGAUAUGACAAGGAACCCAUGUAAUCACAUGGAAGCGACUGCACCUACAACUAGCAACGCUAACACAGGGUUAAGCAAGCGGUAACAUAGCCAAUCAGUGGUUUGCUAGGUCGAACAGGUUGAAGGUUAUCAUGGCAUUGUUGAGAGGCUGAUAUUUAACAUGUGGUAGGCAACGAGNNNNNNNNNNUCGAUAGAAACGGUAAUACUAGCAUGGCAAUGAUAGUAAUGGUAUCUGAGGAAAUGAUCAUCUUUCCUGAGAUCCUGCUUGGAAGAAGAAUGCCUCCGUGAAGCAGACGAACCGACGUAGUCGAACGGGUCCUCACAAUCCGGCAUGUUGCGGAACUCUAUCGAGACGAAGCAAACCGGAAACACAAAUCAACACACGAAAUUCACCACACGAUGCACUACACAUAUGAUGCAUGAGCUACUGAAUACAUGCAAGUCACGGCAUGACAAAUCACACAAUCAAACACUACACAUUAAGUGAAGUUCAAUAUGCACGAGUUGCAUAUUGACGAAACUCCACGUUAAUUAUUUAGUUCACUCCCGGUUAUCUACACGGUAAUAAUAAUGUUGUCAAACAUGCAAGAGGUGAAGCGGAAAUUAAACUACCUACCUAGACAUUUUAAAUGAGGUCGGAAAUGACAUAUAGCACCUCCGAAACGACCUCACAUGGCAAUUUACAAUUCUGUCCAGAUCUGAAUUAACACCUUUAAUUAGUUGUUAAACAGCAAAACAAAUAGGUUCACGUGAUUCUACGCGUCAAGGCAAGCAACCUACACGUAAAGAACAUUUCCAACGGAGCUACGGAUCAAAAGAUACAAGCACCGCAAGAUAUGAUGGCAUGAAUGCAAUAUGCAUGCAACGACGGCUACGAGCAUUUCAACACAUACAAACAGCAAGAGAAAAUGAAACUACACGAGAUUCUAAGCAAGUUACAUGUACGACAUGAUCAAAUCGGAGCUACGGUUUAAAAACUACGAGCAAAACAAGAAAUGACUACAAACUGCCAAAGUCAACCACAUAGCAUUUUCUACGCCCCACAACUACGGCUACACAACUCCGAUAAACUCAAGCAAGGCAUGGCAUGGAAGAGGGAAAGAAGCACUACUACAAACAACUAACAACAACUAGCAUGGCAGCAAGGAGCACUAGGAAAAGAAGUCACAGAAUGACAUCUCACGCACUAUUUCAGAAUUAGUGAAAAUUACACCUCGUGAAAGUGCAGUUUUCAGCCUGAAGGUAUAUUGACAGCAGCAAAAUCCUAAGCUACAGGUCUCCAAAUGACAUGAAACUUCACAGCAUGCUAGAGAAAUACAAGGGGUACAACUAACUCCAUUGGACCAACCUCAAAAGAGCUACAGAUCACAAGAUGCAAGCAAGACAAGACAGCAACAAAAUGAUAACAGAUUCCAGACUUAGAAAUAUUUCAGCACGUCUAAAACAACACUAUUUCUAGCAACUUGAGGGCUAUCGAAACACACCUAAACAUGCAUUUCUAUUGCAACCAAAAUUACCAGCGGCUAAACAAAACAUAUAAGAAGAACUUCCUAGUUGACAACUAAUUCCAACGGGGCACGGAAUAAAUCCUACGAAUUAAACAAAAGGGCAUCACGGCAAAAUAUCGCUUGAACUAACUUACUCAAAAGCUAAAACUAAUUGCGCAGAAAAAUCCAUGGGAUUUUUCUACCCCGGAAACACAUAAAAUACGUGGGGUUUGCAACACAAAAUAAUGCCGCACAUAAAUGCGAGAGAGACACCUAUAUACGGAAAAAUAAACUACCGGAAAACCUUACACGCAAAAAAUACGAGUGACCGCUCUAAAAUACAUGGAAUAAUGGCCCCUAAAACAUGGACAUAUAUCCUACGUCAUACGAACAACCCGGACACGCGUGAAAAAUAACUACCGAACGGAACCUAUUGUAACAGCACGCAAAACAAAGCAUUAGGCACCCUAAACGGCGUUAAACAAUUAUGCAUGUUUCAAAUUCGUAUUCUACGCGCGAAACUACCACAAAACCAUGUAUUACACGUCUCGACCCGAUUUACGAAUAUAAAACUACGGGCGUUUGAAAUAAAACUUACUUAUCUGGAAUUUAUAUUAAUUCCUAAAUCAAGCUAAAUCACCAAUGGGCCGAACGGGGUGCAAACAGAUAAGGUGUGCAGGGGGGCGAGGGAUAGCUUACCUUGGCCACUUGGGCCUGGCCGGUUGGAUGCGCUGGGACCUGGCCCGGUCGGUGCACGGCAGGGGAGGCUGAGCUGGGCCGGGAGACGAGGCCGGCCCACGCGGAGGAGCAGCCCCACGCGACGAGCAGGGACGCUGCCCGUUCUUCUCCUGCUCGCUCCCGAGCUCAACCAUGGCGGCGGCGAGGGCUUGGCAUCGAGCAUCCCUGCAGGUCCUCCGGCGACACGAGGUAGGCGACCGGCGGCGGCGCACUUGUGCUUGAGUCGGCAGGCGGCGGAUCCGGCGCGGGGAACGAGGAGCAGCAACAAGGCAACCGACAACGGGGCAGGGCGGUUCCGGCGAGGCGAGCGGCUGCUGGGCACAGGGGCGGCGCGCUUGGGAGCCGGCGCGGGAUCCAGGCGGCGGGCUGGCAAGGCAAGGGCCGGCGACGGCUGCUAGCCGGCGUGGCGGCGCAGGUGAGGNNNNNNNNNNNNNNNNNNNNNNNNNNNNNNNNNNNNNNNNNNNNNNNNNNNNNNNNNNNNNNNNNNNNNNNNNNNNNNNNNNNNNNNNNNNNNNNNNNNNCCAUGGCAACAUCAGCUACAACCGACUACAAAAUUACAGUCAACAGCAGCAGCAGCAGGCCAACAGCAGCACAAGCGGCGACCAGGAGCUCAGCAAGGGAAGCAAGCAUGCGGGCAGGGGGCCUCCGGCGAGAGGAACGGCGAGCUCGGCGGGGCACCUGCGGGGAGGACCUCGGGGAACGGCGAGGACGAGGCUAGGGCGCGAGGGGAGGACCUCGGGGCCUUGCCGGGAACGGCGACCGCAGGCGGAAGGGGAGCUACGGCGGGUCGAGGGGCCUGGCACGGGCGCUCCUCGCAGCAAGCGGCAGGUGGCGGCGCGUUCGGGUCGAGGGGGUGAGCACCGGCGACGGGAGGCACGGGAUGGAGCAGGCGGCGCUGGGCGGCGACCACGGGAGGCCAGGGGCGGCGCAGGAGACGGUGGAGCAGCGCGGCGGCGCAGCAAGGGAGGAGCGGCGCGGGGCAAGAGCAGAUGCGAGGGGAUUGGGCGAGGAGAGGAACAGAGGCCAGAGAGGAUCGGGGACUACGUGGGUUUCUGGGCAGGUGCGGCGUGGUCGGGAGGAGAGCGAGGCUGGGGUGAUCGUUAGGGCACAUGGAGGAGGCGUGGGCCUCGGCCGGCUGGGCCUCUCCCUCUCCCAAUUUUUUUUUUUAACUCUUGAGAUAGAAAUUUUUAAAGAAAGAAAGGCUUAUAACAAAAAUAAAAUAUGAUAAAUGUCUUUGACCCCUUUUGAAAAAAAUAUAUUCCCAACUAUAAGAAAUAGUUGGGCAUUUUUAAAAGAAAAAAUACAAACCCUUUUGAAGAAUUAAAAUUGAAACCCUUUUUUUAAAGAAUAAAAUAAACCUCCUUUGUUUAAAGAAUAAAAUAAAAGCGCUUUAAAACAGAGAAAAAAAUGAUACGGAUUUAAAAUAAAACAAAAGGAGGAAAUAAAGAANNNNNNNNNNNNNNNNNNNNNNNNNNNNNNNNNNNNNNNNNNNNNNNNNNNNNNNNNNNNNNNNNNNNNNNNNNNNNNNNNNNNNNNNNNNNNNNNNNNNGUGUUAAACAAAGUUUCCACGUUGCCACAUAACCGCGGGCAUGGCUUUUCGAAAAGAUUUAACCCUGCAGGGUGCUCCAACUAGUCGAUCACAAAUUACCACAAGCCGCAUAGAAAUCCUCAAUCAUGAAGCUCGCGAUCUCGUCGGAUUCCCUAGUGGAAAACCUCAACUUUGAGAUUACCCAAAGCAUCACCGGAAUCCCGAUGCACAAGAUAUCUCGUCAAAGGUAAAACUAAUCCAGCAAGGCCGCCCGACGUGUUGGCGAUCCCGAUAGGAGCCGCGUAUCUCGUUCUCAGGACACGACGGAUAAGCACAGCGUACGGUGGCCUGAUAGAAAUCUCCCGAGUUGCCCCGGGUUGGCCCCGCAAACGGCUCUAGUUUUGGACCAGCACCAACAUCACUGGCCCCCUGUAUUAUGUAGAAUUACUCCUCGGGUGGCGCUAACUCCCUAUGCAUUUCAAUAUUAUCAAGUUAUUAUGUUGGGCNNNNNNNNNNAGAAUUACUCCUCGGAUAGCGCUAACUCCCUAUGCAUUUCAAUAUUAUCAAGUUAUUAUGUUGGGCAAAUGUAGAACCAAUGUUGGGCCUUGCCAGUCCAGCUUUAAUCUAAAACGAAUUAUCAAGGGGGUCCCCAUAACAACNNNNNNNNNNNNNNNNNNNNNNNNNNNNNNNNNNNNNNNNNNNNNNNNNNNNNNNNNNNNNNNNNNNNNNNNNNNNNNNNNNNNNNNNNNNNNNNNNNNNCCUUCCACCUUUUACCAAGUAUAUAGGUGCAUUAAAUUAAAUAGCAUUUAAUAUGGUGAUAUAACAAGGAACCCAUGUUUUCACAUGGAAGCAACUGCACCUGCAACUAGCAACGCUAACACGGGGUUAAGCAAGCGGUAACAUAGCCAAUCAAUGGUUUGCUAGGUUGAACAGGUUGAAGGUUUCAUGGCAUUGUUGAGAGGCUGAUAUUUAACAUGUGGUAGGCAACGAGACAUAACGACAGAAACGAUAAAAACUAGCAUGGCAAUGAUAGUAAUGGUAUCUGGGGAAAUGGUCAUCUUGCCUGAGAUCCCGCUUCGAAGAAGAAUGCCUCCGUGAAGAAGACGAACCAACGUAGUCGAAUGGGUCCUCACAUUCCGACACGCUUGCGGAACUCUAGCGAGACGGAGCAAACCGGAAAUAAACAUCAACACAAAUAUUCACCACAACAAAAGCAAGACAUGAUGCAUACCCUAAUAUGAUGCAUGAUCAGUUCANNNNNNNNNNACCGCUUGGAAGAAGAAUGCCUCCAUGAAGCAGACGAACCAACAUAGUCGAACGGGUCCUCACAUUCCGACACGCUUGCGGAACUCUAUCGAGACGGAGCAAACCGAAAACAAACAUCAACACAGAUAUUCACGACAGCAAAAGCAAGACAUGAUGCAUACCCUAAUAUGAUGCAUGAUCAGUUCANNNNNNNNNNAAGCUCGAUAUGCAACGGGUUGCAUAUCGACGAAACUCCAUGUUUAAUUAUUUAAUUCACUCCCGAUUAUUUAACACGCAAUAUUAAAUAUUGUUAACAUGGCAAGGGAUGAAGCGACGGUUCUACAUGUCAUCCUAGUCGGUUUAACUCGCGGAACAUAGAACGAGCUACGUCANNNNNNNNNNAUAUGCAAGGGAUGGCAUGGCAAAUCACCUCACGCAAACACUACACAUUAAAUGUUGCAUAUCGACGAAACUCCAUGUUUAAUUAUUUAAUUCACUCCCGAUUAUUUAACACGCAAUAUUAAAUGUUGUUAACAUGGCAAGGGGUGAAGCGACGGUUCUACGUGUCAUCCUAGUCGGUUUAACUCGCGGAACAUAGAACGAGCUACGGCACAAGAACAUGCAACACAGAAUAUAUGCCAUGAAUGCGUCAUGCAUGCGAGUUUCAACAGGGCAAGAAGGGAAAGAAACAGGUGUCGCCACGGCGAGCGAGAGGGAACCAUGGCGUCAAAUCGGAAACGAUGCCACGGCAAUGUUCCUAUCCCGAUAACUCGUCGAGAUAUCGUGCCAAUGUAUACAAGCGUGUGCGGAAACGGUAAAUAAAGAUGGGGUGAUCCGGGAUCUCGGGUUCCCAUGUGUCGAGGCACGACGAAAGAAGACAGCGGCCAACGGGCAACAUACGGUGCAUACAUACAUAUAUUCAUACAUCACUUGUACACGGUACACGACAACGUCUCAACGCUAUACCUUCGGAGCAUGCACAUCGGAGCAGUUCGAUUCGGAGAAGGAGACCAACGGUCGUCGUGAAAGUAGUUGUCGUCGUGCAAGUAGUCGUUCCCGCAUCGGUAGUUGAAGUAGUGGUACACGGUCUUCGGCGACGGUCACGGUCUUCACCUCAGUAGUCGAACACGGGUCUUCGGCGACGUCGAGGAAGACGAACUCGUUUUUGGGGUCGUCGUGGACGUCGUGGUGCUCGGCGAAUUAGUCGAUGACUCACGGCAGGCGGGGAUGGCAGGCGACACAACAGCAUCAGGUAGCAACAACGGCGGACGNNNNNNNNNNAGCAAGCUACGGUGGAAUAGCAAUAGCAGCAACUAAGCAUCUAGCAACAACAUGCAUCGGUGUCGGCAAACAACGGCAAUCAGCAGCUAAGCCACGGCCAUCAACAGCAGCAAGCAGGGCAGACAAACUGCAAGGCAUUGGCUACAACAACUAAUAGCACUAAGCCGGCAGCAACUAACAAUGCGGCAGGCAGGCAAGCAAGAGGAGCAACAGCCAACACGGCAACUGACAACACAACAGCNNNNNNNNNNNNNNNNNNNNNNNNNNNNNNNNNNNNNNNNNNNNNNNNNNNNNNNNNNNNNNNNNNNNNNNNNNNNNNNNNNNNNNNNNNNNNNNNNNNNGGCGCAGGGAGUUGGAGGCGGGCAGCGGAAGGACGGCAGCCGUGCGUAGGGGUGGGCGCAGCGGCCAGCUGCUGGCGCGGGGACGGCCAGGGACGAAAGAGGCCGCCGGGGAGGCGCGGGGCUCCGGGCAGGCGCGGCCAUGGCGGCACGCGGUGGCUCGAGGCGGGGUUGGCGAGGAGAGGCGAGAGGGGAUCGAGCAUGGGGGACGACGAGAGGCUCGGGAGGAGAGGAUGACGGCGCAGGGGGGAAGCGACGGGGAAACGAGGGCGCCAGGGCAGGGGGUCUGUUGGGCCGGCCAGCUGGGCCUUGCAGGCUCCUUCUCCCCUGGUUUUUUUUCCUUUAAGGAAAAAAACAGGAAGCUUAAACAAAAGAANNNNNNNNNNCGUCGGGAAGGCGCGGGGCUCCGGGCAGGCGCGGCCAUGGCGGCACGCGGUGGCUGGAGGCGGGGUUGGCUAGGAGAGGCGAGAGGGGAUCGAGCACGGGGGAGGACGAGAGGCUCGGGAGGAGAGGAUGACGGCGCACGGGGGGAAGCGACGGGGAAACGAGGGAGCUAGGGCAGGGGGUCUGUUGGGCCGGCCAGCUGGGCCUUGGAGGCUUCUUCUCCAUUGGUUUUUUUUCCUUUAAGGAAAAAAACAGGAAGCUUAAACAAAAGAAAAAUGUUUAAAAGUAAAAUAAAAAAAUAAAGGCCUUUGACUUCUUAAAACCAAAAUUAUGCCCCAACUACAAAAAUAGAUUGGGCCCCUUUUAACAAAUAAAACUAAAAUCUUUUAAGAAUAAAAUUAAACCCUCUUUUACAAAAGAAUAAAAAUAAAACCUUUUGACAAAAGAUUAAAAUCAAACCCCUUUGAAGAAUUAAAUAAAACCUCUUUAUUUAAAGGAUAAAAUAAAAGCUCUUUAAAAGAGAAAAUAAAAUGAGACGGUUUUAAAAUAAAACAAAAGGAGAAUUAAACUAAAACCCAAGGGUUACCCCCACAUUUAAUAAAAGGACCCUUUUAAUGAAAAGAAGGAGACGAACCCUUUUUAAAUAUAGGUUUUCAAACGGGAAAUCUUAGCAACCGCAAAAAUAAAUAAGAGAGGAGAGGAGGGGAGUAAAGGUUUUAGGUCCUCGGUGCAAAAGGGUUUAGCGGUGGCUCUCACGCACGCAUACUCAUCGCGCCAACAAACGACGUCACACUCACAAAGCACUAACACCUAACAACACGGCAACAAGCAACACCGACAAAACAGAGUUGACAUGAUGCCAUGCAUGAUGCGAUGAUGCAAACUACAUGACGAUGCAACGAACAAAAUAAAAUAGCCACACGACGGAAACGGAAUAAAGGGGGGGAAUCUUCUCGAACGUCGGCAUCGGGCUGUCACAACUCUCCUACACUACAAGAGGAUCUCGCCCCGAGAUCCAAGAAUGAAAGGGGGAGAGGAUGAGAAAGAACAAGAGGUAAAACUUAGUCGCUUCUUUGACAAACGAGUGAAACCAACGAUCCUUGAAGGUUGCAAAGAGAUGAGGAAUGAUAUGAGAAAGAAGCAAGAAUUCAUGGAAAAUUUCGGCAGCACUUCGGUAGGAAAAUGGGACAAAAAAUUCGAUAAGAAGAGAGAGUUAGACAAUAUUCACAACAAACAAGUAAAUAGAACAAGGGAACACCAUGAACUUGAUAGAACAACAUAAUAGACCCAAAAGAGCAACAUCACAAUGCCUCCGGAACAAGAGAAUAUGAACUAGCUCAAGCAGAAGAAGAGAAUGAAGAAAAGAAUGACAACUANNNNNNNNNNGAAGAGCCUCCGGCCAUGGAAUUGACGUAGUAGUUAGAAAACCAACAACAAAAAAAACAAGAUAGUAGUGGGCUUAUGAAAAUCAUCUCACAUUUAUGAGGUGACAACCACCCACUAAAAGAAAUCAAAACUUCUAACACCAAGAGGAUACGCUGAGAACUUGGAUUAAUGACAAGCACCAUGAUAGCACAGUCCAUAGGAAAAGCUUUAGGUGAAAUCCAAACCAAGAUAGCUCAAUGAAGAAAUCAUGGGUUGCAAAUAUCUCAUGAUCAUAGAAUUGGUGGAUUAAUUAUCUCAUUCCUCAAAGGAAAUCUCUUCGAAACUCCUACACUAACAAGAAUGCUAUAAUACCACCUCAAAGGAUAAAGGAAUAACAAAUGCACUUGGAAAUGCAAGAGAAGAAAAUUUGAGGUUCUCCAAUAAGAAUUUUGAAGAACACUUUGAGAAUGAAUUGAUAUCACGAUGAACCACCAUGAAGGACCUCCGUAUACAAAUGAAUGAUGCAAAGAUAUGAAGGAAGAAAGAAUAAGAUUAUGACCUUGCCAAGAUUUAAAUGAAGCUUCACAAAGAGAUACUAAAAGAACUUGGAACUCCCGAAAAGAAAGAUAAGCACCUGAGAAAAGAAUCGAUAUCAAGAGCCACUCCAGAAGAAGAAUUCAGAUUACUAUGAAUAAGAAUAAGAAUUAUGUUAUGCUUAUCCUUCAUCAAGUUUAAUUGAUGACAGGCAACGGAUUUAGCGUAGCACUUAUUCCUCUUGGAAGAAACUUGAAGAGACAGAGAGAUAAGCACCACUUGAAGCAUAAUUGAAGGAAGCACCGGUAAGAAUUCACAAUUGAAUGGGAAAACCAAGAAUUAAUGGAGAUACAUGAGAAUGAUGAGAUCAUAAGCCACCUGAGAGAAAACUUGAACAAGGCACUGGAUAAACGAGAGACAAACGAAGAGACAACAAUGGAGAAGAAUUAGAGAACGAAAGCUGAGAACGAAGAAGUCUUCUCAAAUGAUGUCCUUUGGAGGAUCGAGAAUGAAAACAACUCAGAAAUGCACCUGAUAGCGAGAAAGGAAUACACAUGAUUGACAACAAUUAAGAUGAUGGCACCAAGCUGAAAUGAUGAAUCUCCAAGAGAAUGAACCAAGAUUGAGAGAAACACUCCUUCGGUCCUGAAAGAAGAGAAUGAUGAGAAGAACACCACCAAGAAUACCGAGACACUCCGGAAUAAGGAAGAAUGAAAGGUUGAGCCAAAUAUGAGAAUUAACUCAAAUAGAUCUUGGAGGAAAAUAUGACUGAUGGAAAUCAUACUUACGUCAUAGUUGAAAAGAAUUAAUGAUCUCCGAGAAAAGAUUAAAAGAGCCAGGAAAGAUCCUGGGAAAGAACCUGUGGGUUAUGGGCCCACUCAAAGAAAUCACCGUUAGAAAAGAUUGCUUAGAAGAGAGAUAUUGCACCGGUAUGAAUAGAACUAGAUGAGGUUGAGAACCUCGAAAUAAUUAAAAGAUUGGAAACAAGAACUUCUAAGAUGGCUUCAACACUCCGGAAAGAAAAGAGAGGAAUGCAUAACAAGAAGACUGACAAGAAUUUCCAACAUGGAAAGAAUUACAAGGAUGAAUGGAUAAGAUGACAUGGACAACUAAAUUGAAUUCACCGGAAAAAAUAACAAGACUCAAUAAGGAUGAACAUGAAGCUCCUGAGAAUCUUCACAAUGAAACACCGGAUAGGACCCGGAAGAAAAGAUAGCGGGAGCAACAAUGAAAUGAAAAUUCUUGGAUGAAAAUUGAAUCACUGAAGAAAAGGGCGAGAGGGUGGGGAAAAACAAAGACAACUUGGGCUAGAUGAGAUGAACUCCGGAAUAAAAUGAGAGAAUGAUCUUGCAAAAAAAUUAAAGAGGAUUGAACUCACUGAAGAGAAGCACACCGGUUAAAAAGGAAUUAACAUGACGACUCCGGUUGACAAGAAUUGAUAAGACAAUUGAUUGAGCAAUGAAUUUGCAUCCUCACAUAAAAAUAUGAGAACACCUCUAGAAAGAUCUGAAAUCACCACUUGACAUUGAAGCAACACGAAUUACCAUAUUCCACAAAAACAAAAGGUGUGGCUUAUGAAACAAGCCAGAACAAACUCAUGAGAAAGAUUCCGUCCGAUAUUUUCGUGGACAGGAUCGCACGGGCUCGAUUUACAGUAGCCAUCAAGUGUAAGGCAGUGCACCUGACAUACGAAGCGUCCCCGAGUCGUAGCAAGCUACAAGGACUCUUUAAGACACAACGUGUACCGCUGUAAGUCGACCGUGAACAAACGAUCCACUAGAUGUCGAACCCCAACCUAACAUCAUGCAUUUGUUGGAAGAUUGUCCUAUAAGAAACUACUUGAAUUCCCACCUAUGAAUUCCCAAAAUAUCUGGUCAUGCAAUCUGGUACACGGAUACAAGGAGUAAUAUCACAGAACUCCUAUACUAACCCAUCACCUGUAUCACAUCCGUCAACACACAACCAGAAUCUCGGCCCUUCAUCUACAACAGACCCUCGUGAUCACAACGAUACAAAGUAUGGCAGUACUCCCGAACAAUCUGCACCAGUACUGGGGACAUCGGGGUUAUCUCGCCACUACUAGUAUUGGAGCAAUUACGAACAUCCUUCGUCCUGAGAUACUAAGAAAUCUGAAUGAUAACGAUGUGCACAAGAAUCCCCUGGAGCUCAACUCCCCGAAAGAAAAUCAAGUCAGACAGGAGGCACCAAGACAGAACUCCGUCACAUCGGCAUCAUAUAGAUNNNNNNNNNNAAGCAAUUACGAACAUCCUUCGUACUAAGAUACUAAGAAAUCUGAAUGAUAACGAUGUGCUCAAGAAUCCCCUGGAGCUCAACUCCCCUGAGACUUAAAGCAGAUAGAAGGCACCAAGACAGAACUCCGUCACAUCGGCAUCAUAUAGAUCUCAAAAAUAUCCGCAUGAUCCUAAAUUUUUUUGGAGUGAAAAGAGGAGUAGAGUAAAUUAUUACGUCAAGAUUCCUCACCAGAGCAUAGAAGAGGAGAAAAAAGAAUCCUACUCUCCGAUAUAUAACUAGACUCAAAGUAUUUUAACUAGACUCGACUCGGCCAAGUUCGAUCAAUCAAGGGGGCUCCUAGGUCGGUCCUUGCUCUGAUACCAACUUGUCACGCCCAAGAUGCGAUCCUAUCCUCAAUUUGACACGGGGGCCUCGUCAGGGAUAGAAGCGCAUCUCGUCGUGUCGCAAGAAUGGANNNNNNNNNNCAGUUUUUUUACUAGACUCGACUCGGCCAAGUUCGAUCAAUCAAGGGGCUCCUAGGUCGGUACUGCUCUGAUACCAACUUGUCACGCCCAAGAUGCGACCCUAUCCUCAAUUUGGCAUGAGGGCCUCGUCAGGGAUAGAAGCGCAUCUCGUCGUGUCGCAAGAAUGGAUAUCGUUACAAGUACAUGUACUGAAAAGAAGAGAUAUAUAGAGAGAGUUGGCUUACACUAGCCACAAGCUACAUCAGAGUCACAACAGUACAUUACAUAAUCAUCAAGAGUAAGAGCAGGGUCCGACUACGGACGAAAACAAACGACAAAAGAAGAACGACGUCCAUCCUUGCUAUCCCAGGCUGCCAGCCUAGAACCCAUCCUAGAUCGAUGAUGAAGAAGAAGAAGAAGCAACUCCAAAUGAACAAUCAACGCNNNNNNNNNNUUGCCGGCCUGGAACCCAUCCUAGAUCGAUGAAGAAGAAAAAGAAGAAGCAACUCCAAAUGAACAAUCAACGCACUCGCGUCAAGUGCCCUCUACCUGUACCUGCAACUGGUGUUGUAGUAAUCUGUGAGCCACAGGGGACUCAGCANNNNNNNNNNAUUGGCUUACACUCGCCACAAGCUACAUCAGAGUCACAUCGGUACAUUACAUCAUCAUCCAGAGUAAGAGCAGGGUCCGACUACGGACGAAAACAAACGACAAAAGAANNNNNNNNNNGGGGGACUCAGCAAUCUCAUUUCCAAAGAUAUCGACACUAGCAAAGCUUACUGGGUGAGGUAUAGUUAAGUGGUGAGGUUGCAGCAGCGGCUAAGCAUAUAUUUGGUGGCUAAACUUACGAGUACAAGAAAUAAGAGGGGGAAGAUCUACGCAUAACGAACGUGAACUACUGUUGAUCAAAUGAAUGAUCCUGAACACCUACCUACGNNNNNNNNNNCAAGUGCCCUCUACCUAUACCUGCAACUGGUGUUGUAGUAAUCUGUGAGCCACAGGGAACUCAGCAAUCUCAUUUCCAAAGGUAUCAAGACUAGCAAAGCUUAAAGGGUGAGACAUGGUUAAGUGGUGAGGUUGCAGCAACGACUAAGCAUAUAUUUGGUGGCUAAACUUAUGAGUACAAGAGAUAAGAGGGGGAAGAUCUACGCAUGACGGACGUGACUACUGAUGAUCAAAUGAAUGAUCCUGAACACCUACCCACGUCAGACAUAACCCCACCGUGUCCUCGAUCGGAGAAACAACUCUCGAAAGAGACAAUCACGGUUACGCACACAGUUGGCAUGUUUUAAUUAAGUUAACUUCAAGUUAUCUAGAACCAGUGUUAAACAAAGUUUCCACGUUGCCACAUAACCGCGGGCACGGCUUUCUGAAAGAUUUAACCCUGCAGGGGUGCUCCAACUAGUCCAUCACAAAUUANNNNNNNNNNAUUAAACAACGUUUCCAAGUUGCCACAUAACCGCGGGCACGGCUUUCCGAAAGAUUUAACCCUGCAGGGGUGCUCCAACUAGUCCAUCACAAAUUGCCACAAGCCGCAUAGAAAUCCUCAAUCACUAAGCUCGCGAUCUCGUCGGAUCCCCUAGUGGAAGACCUCAACUCUGAGAUAACCCAAAGCAUCACCGGAAUCCCGAUGCACAAGAUAUCUCGUCAAAGGUAAAACUAAUCCAGCAAGGCCGCCCGGCGUGUCGACAAUCCCGAUAGGAGCUGUGUAUCUCGUUCUCAGGACACGAGGGAUAAGCAGAGUGUAUGGUGGCCUGAUAGAAAUCUCCCGAGUUGCCCCGGGUUGGCCCCGCAAANNNNNNNNNNCGCGUAUCUCAUUCUCAGGACACGACGGAUAAGCACAGCGUACGGUGGCGUGACAGAAAUCUCCCGAGUUGCCCCGGGUUGGCCCCGCAAAUGGCUCUAGUUUUGGACCAACACCAACAGCACUGGCCCCCCUGUAUUAUGUGAAAUUACUCCUCGGGUUCAUGACGCCCUAUGCUUUCAGUAUUAACAAGUUAUUAUGUUGGGCAAAUGUAGUACCAAUGUUGGGCCUUGCCGGACCAGCUUUAAUCUAAAACGAAUUAUCAAGGGGGUCCCCAUAACAACNNNNNNNNNNNNNNNNNNNNNNNNNNNNNNNNNNNNNNNNNNNNNNNNNNNNNNNNNNNNNNNNNNNNNNNNNNNNNNNNNNNNNNNNNNNNNNNNNNNNAUUUCCCCAUAUACCAUUACUAUCAUUUCCAUGCUAGUUUUACCGUUGCUACCGUUUAUGUCUCGUUGCCUACCACAUGUUAAAUAUCAGCCUCUCAACCAUGCCAUGUUAACCUUCAACCUGUUCGACCUAGCAAACCACUGAUUGGCCAUGUUACCGCUUGCUUAACCCUGUGCUAGCGUUGCUAGUUGCAGGUGCAUUGCUUCCAUGUGAAAGCAUGGGUUCCUUGUUAUAUCACCAUAUUAAAUGCUAUUUAAUUUAAUGCACCUAUAUACUUGGUAAAAGGUGGAAGGCUCGGCCUUUCUAGCCGGGUGUUAUGGGGACCCCCUUGAUAAUUCGUUUUAGAUUAAAGCUGGUCUAGCAAGGCCCAACUUUGGUACUACAUUUGCCUAAUAACCUAAUAAUAAUGCAUAGGGACCCGCCGGCACCCGCGGACUAAUUUAAACAACCCCCAGGCCAAUGCUCCUCAUGAGUGUUGGUCCAAAACAAAGCACUGUGCGGGGCCACCGCGAGGAAACUCGAGGUUUGGCACUUGUACGCAUCGCUUAUCCGUCGUGUCCUGAGAACGAGGUACGCGACUCCUAUCGGGAUCGUCGACACGUCGGGCGGCCUUGCUGGAUUAGUUUUACCUUUGACGAGAUAUCUUGUGCAUCGGGAUUCCGAUGAUGCUUUGGGUAAACUCAGAGUUGAGGUUUUCCACUAGGGGAUCCGACGAGAUCGCGAGCUUCGUGAUUGAGGAUUUCUAUGCGGCUUGUGGCAAUUUGUGAUGGACUAGUUGGAGCACCCCUGCAGGGUUAAACCUUUCGGAAAGCCGUGCCCGCGGUUAUGUGGCAACGUGGAAGCUUUGUUUAACACUGGUUCUAGAUAACUUGAAGUUAACUUAAUUAAAACAUGCCAACUGUGUGUGUAACCGUGACUGUCUCUUUCGUGAGUUCUCUCUCCGAUUGAGGACACGGUGGGGUUAUGUCUGACGUAGGUAGGUGUUCAGGAUCAUNNNNNNNNNNUAGUAGUUCACGUCCGCUAUGCGUAGAUCUUCCCCCUCUUAUUUCUUGUACUCGUAAGUUAGCCAACAAAUAUAUGCUUAGUCGCUGCCGCAACCUCACCACUUAACCAUACCUCACCCAUUAAGCUUUGCUAGUCUUGAUACCUUUGGAAAUGAGAUUGCUGAGUCCCCUGUGGCUCACAGAUUACUACAACACCAGUUGCAGGUUCAGGUAAAGGUCACUUGACGCGAGCACGUUGAUUGUUCAUUUGGAGUUGCUUCUUCUUCUUCUUCUUCAUCGAUCUCGGAUGGGUUCCAGGCCGGCAGCCUGGGAUAGCAAGGAUGGACGUCGUUCUUAUUUUUCUCGUUUGUUUUCGUCCAUAGUCGGACCCUGCUCUUAUUCUUGAUGAUUAUGUAAUGUACUGAUGUGACUCUGAUGUAGCUUGUGGCGAGUGUAAGCCAACUCUGUAUAUAACUCUUCUUUUCAGUACAUGUACUUGUAACGAUAUCCAUUCUUGCGACACGACGAGAUGCACUUCUAUCCAUGACGAGGCCUUCGUGCCAAAUUGAGGAUAGGGUCGCAUCUUGGGCGUGACAGCCUUGGCCAUUAGGCACUUGGCAAUGCGGUGCCCGUUGGGGGCCUUGAAGAGAGACACCUUGCUUGGAGAAGAGGAUGCAAUGGCCACCGUGGCCAUUCCCAUCGCUUCACCAGUUGUCUCAUCUUCAUCAUCCUCAUCGGAGAGGUACUCUUCUUGAGCCACCAACACCUUCUGGGGCAUAUUCUUGGGGUCGUUCUUGUUUGGGAAGGAAUUGGUCUUGUCUAUGCGAAUGAUCUUGUCACCAUUGUCUUCCCUAUGCUCAUAGGGACAAUCUGCCACAAAGUGACUCACAUUGCCACAAUUGUAGCAAGUUCUCACGCGUUGCUUUCCCUUGGACCCAUUUGAGUUGUUCUUGAGAACCUGGGCCUUGAGUUUUUCUUGUUGCCCCAAAACUGCCUUGAUGCAAGAGCCAUGUGCUCGUGGUAAGCAUACUUGGUGUCUUUAGGACAAGUUUCUUCUUCGUCUUCCUCAUUUUCCUCCAAAGCAGCUGUAACAGCCCGAUGCCGACGUUCCAGAAGAUUCCCCCCCCCUUUAUUCCGUUUCCGUCGUGUGGCUAUUUUAUUUUGUUGGUUGCAUCAUCAUGUAGUUUGCAUCAUCGCAUCAUGCAUGGCAUCAUGUCAACUGUGUUUUGUCGGUGUUGCUUGUUGCCGUGUUGUUAGGUGUUAGUGCUUUNNNNNNNNNNNNNNNNNNNNNNNNNNNNNNNNNNNNNNNNNNNNNNNNNNNNNNNNNNNNNNNNNNNNNNNNNNNNNNNNNNNNNNNNNNNNNNNNNNNNNNNNNNNNNNNNNNNNNNNNNNNNNNNNNNNNNNNNNNNNNNNNNNNNNNNNNNNNNNNNNNNNNNNAAGGACCUAAAACCUUUACUCCCCUCCUCUCCUCUCUUAUUUGUUUUUGCGGUUGCUAAGAUUUCCCGUUUUAAAACCUCUAUUUAAAAAGGGUUCGUCUCCUUCUUUUCAUUAAAAGGGUCCUUUUANNNNNNNNNNNNNNNNNNNNNNNNNNNNNNNNNNNNNNNNNNNNNNNNNNNNNNNNNNNNNNNNNNNNNNNNNNNNNNNNNNNNNNNNNNNNNNNNNNNNCAAGACAGGGUUACCCUACCACUCUGGAGCAGUACAUGACCUUGUCGACCUACGAGGUUUGUAGUAACUUGAUCCAAAGCUUCAUGAUCACUAUCAUCAGCUUCCACUUCAAUUGGUGUAGGCGCCACAGGAAUAACUUCCCGCGCCCUGCUACACACUGGUUGAAGUGACGGUUCAAUAACCUCAUCAAGUUUGCACCAUCCUCCCACUCAAUCCUUUCGAGAGAACCCUUUUCUCGAGUAAGGACCCGUUUCUAGAAACAAACACUUUGCUUCCGGAUAUGAGAUAGGAGAUAUACCCAACUGUUUUGGGUAUCCUAUGAAGAUGCAUUUAUCCGCUUUGGGUUCAAGCUUUUAAGAAACGACAACUUAGGUUUCUCCAAACCAUAGUUCAUACGGUGUCAUCUCAAUGAAAUUACGUGGUGCCCUAUUUAAAGUGAAUGCAGUUGUCUCUAAUGCCUAACCCAAAAACUAUAGUGGUAAUUCGAUAAGAGACAUCAUAGUAUGCACCAUAUCCAAUAGGGCGCGGCUAUGAAGUUCGGACACACCAUCACACUAGAGUGUUCCAGGUGGCAUUAGUUGUGAAACGUUUUCCACACUAUCUUAAUUGUGUACCAAACNNNNNNNNNNNNNNNNNNNNNNNNNNNNNNNNNNNNNNNNNNNNNNNNNNNNNNNNNNNNNNNNNNNNNNNNNNNNNNNNNNNNNNNNNNNNNNNNNNNNNNNNNNNNNNNNNNNNNNNNNNNNNNNAUCUGUACGAUCAUAUCAUAGACAUUUUAUCCUCUUGUCACGAUGAUCUUGAACUUCACUACUCUGAAAUUACUUGAACCUUUCAAUAAUUUAGACCUCAUCAAAGCCUCUGGAGGCGGAUGCUCCGCUGCUCCCACUCACUUUCUUGUAAAUACAAGAUUCUCCAACAACUUGUAUAAACCCAAAUGCCUUGAUCACCUCAUCAAAGCGCUUAUUCCAACUCCGAGAUGCUUGCACCAGUCCAUAAAUGGAUCACUGGAGCUUGCAUACUUUGUUAGCAUUCUUUGGAUCGACAAAACCUUCGNNNNNNNNNNNNNNNNNNNNNNNNNNNNNNNNNNNNNNNNNNNNNNNNNNNNNNNNNNNNNNNNNNNNNNNNNNNNNNNNNNNNNNNNNNNNNNNNNNNNGAAUUCUCGAGUAUUAGCAGUUGAGUUGUCAAUUCAACCACACCUGAAAGACUUAGUAUCUGCAGCAAAGUUUCAGUAGCAAAGUAGUGUGAUAGCAAUGGUAUCAACGGUAACAGUAGCAGCAGUGACAGCAGUAGCGGUAACAGUAGCGGUAGUGACAACAGUAGUGGUAACAGUAGCGGCAGUGACAACAGUAGCGGUAAAGUAAUGUAACAAGGACCAGUAGGAAAAUACUUGUAGGCAUUGGAUCGGUGAUGGAUAAUUAUGUCGGAUGACAUUCAUCAUGUAUCACUUAUAACAUGGGGUGAUUUGUAACUAGCUCCAGUUCGUCAAUGUAAUGUAGGCAUGUAUUCCGUAUAUAGUCAUACGUGCUUAUGGAAAAAAACUUGCAUGACAUCUAUUGUCCAUCCCUCCCGUGGCAGCGGGGUCCUAAUGGAAACUAAGGGAUAUUAAGGUCUCCUUUUAAUAGAGAACCGGAACAAAGCAUUAGCACUUAGUGAAUACAUGAACUCCUCAUACUAUGGUCAUCUCCAGGAGUGGUUUCGGCUAUUGUCACUCCGGGGUUGCUAGGUCAUAACACAUAGUAGGUGACUACAACUUGCAAGAUAGGAUCAAGAACUCACAUAUAUUGAUGAAAACAUAAUAGGUUCAAAUCUGAAAUCAUGACACUCGGGCCCUAGUGACAAGCAUUAAGCAUGGCAAACUAGUAGCAACAUCAAUCUCAUAACAUAGUGGAUACUAGGGAUCAAACUCCAUCAAAACUAACUCGAUUACAUGAUAGAUCUCAUCCAACCCAUCACCGUCUAGCAAGCCUACAAUGAGACUACUCACGAAUGGUGAAGAGCAGCAUGGAAUUGGCGAUGAAGGAUGGUUGGUGAUGACGAUGGCGACGAUUUCCCCUCUCCGGAGCCCAGAACAGACUCCAGAUCUGCCCUCCAAAGGAAGAACAGGUGGUGGCGGCGGCUCCAUGUCGUAAAACGCGAUGAACUCUUCUCUCUUAAUUUUUUCUAGGCGAGAGAGACUAUAUAGAGCUGGAGUUGGAGGCGGCGGAGCCACGAGGGCCUCACAAGCCUGCCAGGCGCGGCCAGGGGGGCCCGCGCCUCCUGGGCUUGUGGGCUCCUAGCUCCGUCCCUCCAGGUAAUUCUUGCGCCAGUAUUUUUUAUAUAUUCCACAAAAAAUCCUCGUAAAUUUCCAGAUCAUUCUGAGAACUUUUAUUUCUGCGCAAAAACAACACCACAGCGUCAGUCCGGGUUAGUUUCAUUCAAAUCAUGCAAAUUAGAGUCCAAAACAAGGGCAAAAGAGUUUGGAAAAGUAGAUAUGAUGGAGACGUAUCACCUACCACCUGUUGAAUAUCAGGCUCCCAACAUUGCCAUGAAAACCUUCAACCUAUCUACAACCUGGCAAACCACUGAUUGGAUAUGUUACCGCUUGCUUAACCAUUGGAUAGCGUUGCUAGUUGCAGGUGCAGUUGCUUCCAUGUGUUAACUUGGGUUCCUUAUUAUAUCACCCUAUUAAUGUUAUUUAAUUUAAUGCACCUAUAUACUUGGUAAAAGGUGGAAGGCUUGGCCUUUUAGCCUGGUGUUUUGUUCCACCUUUGUCGCCUUAGUUUCGGCUACCGGUGUUAUAUUCCAUAAAUGAGCGCUCCUAACAUGCUUGGGGUUCUUAUGGGGACCUACUAGAUUCUCGUUUUGGGAUAAAGCUCGUCUGGCAAGGCCCAACAUUGAUACUAUAUUUUCUCAACAUAAUAAUUCCGUUAAUAUUGAAAAACAUAGGGCGUCAUGAACCCGAGGAGUAAUUCAACAAAAUACAGGGGGCCAGUGCUACUGGUGCUGGUCCAAACUAGAGCCGUUUGCGGGGCCAACCCGGGGAAAUUCAGGAGAUGUCUAUCACGCCACCGUACGCUGUGCUUAUCCGUUGUGUCCUGAGAACGAGAUACGCGGCUCCUAUCGGGAUUGUCAACACGUCGGGCGGCCUUGAUGGGCUUGUUUUACCUUUCUCGAGCAUCUUGUGCGAGGGAUUCCGAGGAUGCUUUGGGUUAUCUCGAGGUUGAGGUGUUCCAAUAGGAACCCAAGGAGAUCAUGGGUCUCCCCACGGGUCAUUCCGUCGUAGCGUGUGGUAGUUUAUGAUGGACUAGUUGGAGCACCCCUCUAGGGUUAAAUCUUUUGGAAAGUCGUGCCCGCGGUUAUGUGGCAACGUGGAAASUUUGUUUAACAUCYGGUUCUAGAUAACUUGAAGUUAACUUAAUUAAAAUAUGCCAACUGUGUGCGUAACCGUGAUUGUCUCUUUCGUGAGUUCCUUCUCCGAUCGAGGGCACGGCGGGGUUAUGUCUGACGUAGGUAGGUGAUCAGGAUCAUUCAUUUGGUCAUCAGUAGUCACGUCCGCAACGCGUUCCCCCUCUUAUUUCUUGUACUCAUAAGUUUAGCCACCAAAUAUAUGCUUAGCCGCUGCUGCAAACUCACCACUUAACCAUACCUCACCCAUUAAGCUUUGCUAGUCUUGAUACCUUUGGAAAUGAGAUUGUUGAGUCCCCUGUGGCUCACAGAUUACUACAACACCAGUUGCAGGUACAUGUAAAGGUUACUUGACGCGAGCGCGUUGAUUGUUUAUUUGGAGUUGCUUCUUCUUCUUCUUCUUCUUCUUCAUCGAUCUAGGAUGGGUUCCAGGCCGGCAGCGUGGGAUAGCAAGGAUGGACGUCGUUCUUCUUUUUCUCGUUUGUUUUCGUCCGUAGUCGGACCCUGCUCUUCUUCAUGAUGAUUAUGUAAUGUACUGUUGUGACUCUGAUGUAGCUUGUGGCGAGUGUAAGCCAAUUCCAUAAAUAUAACUCUUCUUUUCAAUACAUGUACUUGUAAUGAUAUCCAUUUUUGCGACACGACGAGAUGCGCUUCUAUCCCUGACGAGGUCUUCGUGCCAAUUUGAGGAUAGGGUCGCAUCUUGGGCGUGACAUUGAGGCCUUGAGGGUCUAGGUAGAGAUGAUGGUGCAGAUGGGAAAGAUGGGAAGUUGAUGUGGGUUCUUGGAUUGGUAGAAAAUAAUGAUUACUAUGGGGUAAUAUGCCAAAUAAAUUUAUAGUUUAGUAUAGUCCUAUCUAAACUUCCAAAUAAAUAGACAACAUGUGCAUUUUCUUGAUUUUAAUUUUGUAUCGUACUUCGAACAUUACUAUACUUUAUUGUUAGGCUAAUUAAGCAAAAGUGGCAUUGACACCCAGAACAACAAUUUACCUUUAAGAGAAAAUUUCAGAGUUGUACGAUGUGUCAAGAAUUAUGGUUUUAUAUAAGGAUAAUACUGGGAGAGGAUAUGCAAUUAUGGCUUUGUAAGUUAUACCGACGCAUAUUUUUAAAGAUCCCUAAAGUUAUUUACCCUUUCGCUAAUUGAUCAUUUGGUUACUUGAAAGAAAUAGGUUAGGUUGUUUGCAUGGGGUUGCAGGCAUUGUUGUUUGGACCUGAGGUGAAAAGGAUAGGGCAGCAGGCCAGGAGCAACCGCAAAAGAAGCUCCAUAACAAUGAGAGGACAUCCUCAUGAAGGUAGUGUGUGUAGGUUGUGGCUGCAUGCCUGGUGUCCUCCUUGGACCGCAAGAUUGUUGGCAUGAACGGAAGGUAACAAACCAAUUCCUCACCCCAAUUACUCAUCUAUAGUUUGGUUUCUAGAUCAUUCGGUUGCUUCUUUGUGCAAUCCUUCUUAGAUUCGUACCUUGAAGAAUUUAAUUGUUGAUACCUACAAUUUUGUGGCCCGUGGUUUAGAUCUGGCACAUGCGUACAUAGCACAGCAAAACAGAUUCCUCAAUACCAAGGUGAGUACCUAGAAACCUAGAUAGAUGAUCUGGCCAUAUAGUUUGAGAACUCUAAAACUUAUUGCAUGAUUUAGUUUCUACCUAGAUCUAGAUGAUUUAGAUGCUAACAGUGAAGUAAAGAUCAACAUUGGUAUCCCUAAAAUAUACCAGGAGGGUGUGUGUGCUCAUCUAAAAUUUGAAUAAAGAUAUGAUUACUUAAAUAGUUAAUACUUAAUUCUAUCUUUUUCUGCUUUUGUAGAAUGCUAAAUGCUAUUGGGUGACAUUUCUCAUCAUGGUAUAUUAGAGGAUAUCUGUUAUCAAGCGACACCAAUGUCUCAGGUAUAGAUAGUUCUAUUUAGGGAGCACUAAAGAAAAUAGAAUGCAACAAAUCUAGGUUUGCUAGAACAUAUAUGAAUGAUGUGCAUUCUAGAAGAUACAUGGGAAUGGAGUUCUAUUAAGUUUAUUGAUGGUGUAGGAUUGUUAGGUUCAUGUAGUUUCUUGUUGUACUGAUGAUGGCGGAGAGUGUUGACCAGGAUGAAAACAUGUUCUAUCUUCAAACGGACCGGCGACAUCAAAGCUUGUUCCCUUCUUGAAUGCAUCGUCACGGCUCUCAUUGUCCGUCUUGUUGCUCCAGGGGAAACUCUGAUCCUCAGAUGGGGCGAUGGCGGUGCUCCAGUGUCCUAUCCUUCCCGAAGACACCAUCUUAGGGUCCAUUGUUAGUCGUAUGCGGCUUCAUCUUUUCUAGAUGGCUUGUUCACGAUUGAAGCCCCAUGUUGCUCUUGUAGUGCUAGGGUGGUGUUGUUGCGUCAACGCCUAUGUAUCUUGCCUUCGGUGUGUGUGUUUUGUGUGGUGGUGCGUGUUUGCACUGAAUUAUUGAUGAGUGUUGCUUUAUAUAUAAAGAGGGGUGAAAGCCUUUUUCAGUACUUUACUCCAUAUAUUAUAAUAAACCAUUGACAACUGCUGCAAGAUGAGCUUGUUUUGACCUAUUAUGCGACUUUGAAUGAUCAAUUGCAGUUCCAUUAGACAGUUCUGCCUCUCUCGCUGACACAAGAACUCUCUCUAACAGAAAAAAAGCACACAGAAAAGCAACACAGGAAGUACAUAAGAAAGAUGUGUUUUCAUUGAUAGAAGAAUGGCAAGGGCAUGCCAAUUGUAAAGGGAAUCACAAGAAAAUGGAAAAGAAAAUGAAAAACUAAAGAGAAGAAUGCUAUGAUCUCAUGAUAAGAUGCCGACCACCGACCAACAACCACAUGAGAAAACCUAUAGUAGCUCCUAAGACACAAGCAAUUUUGUUUAAAAGGCAUAAUUGGAUUAAGAGUCCAGACCAGAGAUGCUUCCUAAAAUAUUUGCAUUGUAGCCUGUAGCAACACACGAGCAUUCUACCAGUUUUCAUAGAAGAAAACAAAGAAAUUUACAAAAGAACCGAGCACCUUGCUAACAAGGGCUCGAUCAAGCACCCACUCCAACACCUACAGAAUAACGAUAAGCUACUUUCUCGCUAAACUAUCUAGACUUCCAGCACCGGCCUUCCUCCAUUCUUCAAUAUCCUCGAAGAUCUUCGUCUUAAGCUGAGAGGGAUCAGUAUGUUCCACCGCUCUUCCAAAGANNNNNNNNNNNNNNNNNNNNNNNNNNNNNNNNNNNNNNNNNNNNNNNNNNNNNNNNNNNNNNNNNNNNNNNNNNNNNNNNNNNNNNNNNNNNNNNNNNNNCGACGAACCGUAACCUAACCUAACGUAAACCGAAACCGAAACCCCUACGUAGUAGUUAGUUUCGGUUUGGGUUGUACAUCCUGACAGAUAGAAUUAGUACAACUUACCAUCUCAUAUGCUUCAGAUUUGAAGAAUAUGAUACUAAUUUCAUCAGAUCAGUAAUUUCAUCAUAACAGAGAUGUAAGGACGUGUGAAAUAUUUCUAUUUCAUCAAUCAUUAGCUUGCGUCCUAUCAAGCAUUUCCUCAGGUCUCCAGCAAAUUCUUCAAAUGAUGAUUUUCAUCUGGAGACCUGUCCUGCAGAAGUGAUAAGUUUGAUUUCUUCACCACCCACAUCUGAAGGGGUGGCAAAGCGUUCAUCAUCCUGCGAGCACCAUAUGAGAAAGGUGGCAUUGAAGCCAAUGCACUUCUCUUAACAGUAGGGGGAUUAAAGUACUCAUAUGAAUAUGCAGAAAACUGGUUUGAGGAUUUAUGAACAUAAUGAUUUGAGGAGUAACGUUCAUAUUCAUAUUCCUUGUAGUUUNNNNNNNNNNNNNNNNNNNNNNNNNNNNNNNNNNNNNNNNNNNNNNNNNNNNNNNNNNNNNNNNNNNNNNNNNNNNNNNNNNNNNNNNNNNNNNNNNNNNCGCCGUGCGGACCACGCCCACCGCGCGCUCCUCCUCUUCCGCUCCCUCCACGCCUCCCCCUCCCCGCCGCCCCCGCACUUCUCCCUCCCGGCCGCGCUCUCCGCCGCUUCCUUUCUCUCCGCGCUCCCCGAGGGCCGCCAGCUCCACGCGCUAGCGGCCAAGCUCGCGCUCGCCCCGGCCCACACCGUCGUCGCCAACUCCCUCCUCCACCUCUACGCCUCCUGCGGCCUCCCCGACGCCGCGCUCGCGCUCUUCCGCUGCAUCCCCGCCAAGUCCCUCGUCUCCUGGAACACCGCCGUCGACGCGCUCGCCAGCAACGCCGACCACCUCGGCGCGCUCGACCUCUUCAGGGAGAUGCAGCGGGACACGGGCCUCGCGCCCGACGCCUACACCCUGCAGAGCGUCCUCGGCGCGUGCGCCGGGGCCGGCGCGCUCUCGCUCGGGGUCUACGCGCACGCGCUGCUGCUGCGCGAGCUCGGGGGCCACGGCGACGUGUCCCGCGACGUGCUCAUCAACAACUCGCUCGUCGACCUUUACGGCAAGUGCGGGGCCGUCGAGCUCGCGCGGCAGGUGUUCGACCGGAUGCCCGAGCGGGACGUCACGUCGUGGAACGUGGCGAUCCUCACGCUCGCCAACCACGGAUGCGUGCGCGAGUCCGUGGAGCUGUUUGAUCGGAUGACGCGGGUGGAGAAUGUUGUGCCCAACGCAAUCACCUUCGUCGCGGUUCUAGCGCGUGCAACCAUGGCGGGAGUGGUGGGAAGGAAACGGGACGARGAAGAAUACUUCGACNNNNNNNNNNNNNNNNNNNNNNNNNNNNNNNNNNNNNNNNNNNNNNNNNNNNNNNNNNNNNNNNNNNNNNNNNNNNNNNNNNNNNNNNNNNNNNNNNNNNAUAGAAUACUUGCUGUUUUUAAUAGAAUUCUUGCUGUUUUUAUGACCAAGGUACAUCAAGUGUUCCAACGAUGAGCCCCUCCAUUCAUUAUGACCAAGGAAUCAUCAAGGAGCUUAUUGCUAAGAUGAUAUGUGUGCAUGAGUAUUCAUUUAGAAUGGUUGAACAUGAGUGGUUCAACAUUCUAAUGAAGUGCAUGAAUCCAAAUUAUAAAUCCAUUGGAAGGAAGGCAAUACGAGCCGAGUGCCUGAGGGUUUACAAGAAAGAAAAAGAGGUGCUUAAAUCUGUCCUAAGGGGUGUGAGCUCCAUAUCUCUAACCACGGAUUUAUGGACAAGCAACCAAACCUUAUGUUACAUGUGUGUGGUUGCACACUAUAUAGAUGAUAAUUGGAAGAUCCAAACCCGUGUACUUGGUUUCCUAGAGUUGGAUCCUCCUCACACUGGAAUUGUCAUUGCGGAUGCUCUCUAUGCGUGUGUGACAGAUUGGAAUAUUGAGACACAAAUUAUGUCCAUCACAGUAGACAACGCCUCAAACAAUGAUGGUGCAAUCGAAGCUUUGAAGGCCAAGUUAUUCUACCGGAGAGGUAUGCUUGCUGAUUUUGUUCCUAUGCAUGUUGUUUGUGGUCCUAUUCCUAUGCUUGCUACUUGUGCUCAUACGCUUGUUACCUCUUGUAGGUAAUGACUUUGAAGACCAAUAUUUUCAUAUCCGUUGUUGUGCACACAUCCUCAACUUGGUAGUGCAAGAUGGCAUAGAUGUCUUAGAUAAUUUGAUAAAGAGUUCGAGAGAGACGGUGAAGUACUUCAAGAGGUCACCUUCUCGUCUCCACGCUUUUGUUGACACUUGCAAAAGCAUGGGUGUCAAAGUUGGCAACCAUUUACACCUAGAUUGUCAAACAAGGUGGAGUUCAACCUAUAAGAUGAUUAGCACUGCCCGUCAAUACAAGGAAGCCUUGACCUCUCAUGCUAACUCCAAUGCCAACUAUGCUUGGGCACCGACAAACGCGGAGUGGGACAUGUAUGACCUUAUCUCUCCAUUACUUAAGAGCUUGGCCGAGGUGACAAAAGCAUUUUCAGGAAGUUUAUAUCCUACUUUGAACAUCUUCUACCCAUACAUUGUUGGUGUCAAGAUUGCAAUCAAACAUGCAAUUGAUAGUGAUAGUGAGCACUACAAGCAAAUGGGUGAAGAGAUGUUGGAUAAGUUUGACAAAUAUUGGGAAGAAAGGACAGAUUCCAUGGUGAUUGCAACCAUCUUUGAUUCACGGUAUGUUUUAAUCAACUUAUGUUCAUCAACUUGAUGUUUUAAUCAGAAUACUUGCUGUUUUAAAUACGAAUAGAAAUUCCUGGUUGCUGUUUUAAAUAGAAUAAUUGCUGUUUUUAAUAGAAUACUUGCUUGUUUUAAANAGAAUAAUUGCUUAGUUUUUAANAGAAUUACUUACGUUGUUUUUUAAUUUAAGAAUAAAUUGUCUGUUUUUAAUUAGNNNNNNNNNNNNNNNNNNNNNNNNNNNNNNNNNNNNNNNNNNNNNNNNNNNNNNNNNNNNNNNNNNNNNNNNNNNNNNNNNNNNNNNNNNNNNNNNNNNNCGUUCCGGACGUCGGGCGGCGCAGGUCGUUGUCGUCGGCGGGGUCGGAGUKGUUGGGUCGGCGGCCAGUCGGCCGGCGGCGCCCGCCCGGCCCAUACCUGGGCCCCUUUGGGCCCCAUCUGAGUUGGCGCGGGCCGGUUGUCCUGUGCGCGGCGGUGGCGCUCACUAGCGGCGGAGGUCGGGUGUUAACGGUCUUGGGUGGCGGCGGUGCGGUCUGCCCGCAUGCUGCAGCGUGUGGACGGGGGCUUCGCGGGACCGUUUGGGCCCGGCCGGGACACUAGGGGCCUGGUUUGUCCCUAUUGACGCAUCCGGACGGUUGUCGCAGUGGCAGUGGAGGCAGUCCCCCCCUUUCCGGUUGCGUGGUUGUUUCCCCCAACUCUGAUGUCCCUUCUUCUUUCGCUUGGCCUCAUGUCGGUGAUCUCUGAGCAAUGAUGAAGAUGGUUCCAAGAUCGUGGUGGCGCAUGCUGGUGGGCGGCUAGCUGGGUGGAGUUCGACGGGGAGUUUGGGGUGGUGCUGGUUGUUUGGGUCGGGAGAAAUCCCCUGGCGGCUCGUCCGCCACCAACGCGGUGACGUCUGCGGGCGCCGCCGUUCCUCCUUAAGGGGUGUCGGGUAUACCCCUUCCACACUGUCUUAUGCAUACCGGGGGAAACCCUAGUGUAAAAGCACAAUUUCUCCUAAGUAAUUUCGGUGGUUGAUGACGAUACCCUUAGCGGACUAAUCGUGGUGGCACAAGACGCUUAUAUUCCCCUCAGUAAGUGAAAGUGAAGACAAUGCUUAGCUAUUGAUUUAGGGUUGGUGGACUCGAGUCAUAGAUAAUCCCGUACUAUCAAGAGGGGAUCCGCGUUUGGAAAACUUGGGUGGAACACUAUCUCUCAUUCUUGCUCCCCAUCCCUUUUCCGGAGCAAAGGAGAUGCCGUGAAUUAGUGCGGAGGAAAUUGUAGAAGCGGUAGUACCGCUCUAGCGGUACUGCCGCCCACUAGAGUCGGGCUCUCUGCCGCUUGUUUUAUUUCUCUGGUGUCNNNNNNNNNNNNNNNNNNNNNNNNNNNNNNNNNNNNNNNNNNNNNNNNNNNNNNNNNNNNNNNNNNNNNNNNNNNNNNNNNNNNNNNNNNNNNNNNNNNNGGGGGGUUGAGGGUUAAUUUAGGGGGUUUCUCCGUGAUUGGUCGAACAACAAGUUUUCGUAAAUAUAUCCGACGCUACUACAUAUAUACAAUAUAACAUCUUUUACAAUCCCUAACAUCAUCUACCUAAGAUCCAAUCACAAAUCCACAUGGUAUUCUCCGUCUUUAGGUAUGACGUGGUCAAGAAAUAAUCCCGCCAAUUCCUCUUGAAUAGCUUGGGGAUGCUUGAUACGUCUCCAACGUAUCUAUAAUUUUUGAUGGUUUCAUGCUAUUAUCUUGUCAAACUUUGGAUGUUUUGUAUGUCUUUUAUAUMUUUUUUGGGACUAACUUMUUAACUCAGUGCCAAGUGCCAGUUCGUGUUUUUUUCGUGUUUUUGACCCUUUUCAGAGGAGAAUUUUGAAMGGAGUCCAAACGGAACAAAACUUCCGAAAAGAUUUUUCCGAAACAAAAGACGAUCGGGAGACUUGAGAACCAAGGCAGAGGGACACCAGGGACCCCACAAGCCCCCUAGCCGCGGCCAGGGGGGCCGCGCCUCCCAGGCUUGUGGGCUCCCUGGGCCUCCUCUGCCCUAGGUCUUUCGCCUAUAUAUUCCAUAAAAUCCCAGAAAAAUCAGGGGAUCAUCGAAAGUACUUUUCCGCCGCCGCAAGCUUCUAUCUCCGCAAGAUCCCAUCCGGGGCACGUUCUGGUGCCCUCCCAGAGGGGGGAUUCUGAUACGGAGGGCUUCUUCAUCAACACCAUGACCUCUUCGAUGAUGCGUGAGUAGUUCACCAUAGACCUACGGGUCCAUAGCUAGUAGCUAGAUGACUUCUUCUCUCUCUUGGAUCUUCAAUACAAAGUUCUCCAUGAUCUUCAUGGAGAUCUAUCCGAUGUAAUCUUCUUUGCAGUGUGUUUGUUGAGAUCCGAUGAAUUGUGGAUUUAUGAUCAGAUUAUCUAUGAAUCUUAUUUGAGUUUCUUCUGAUCUCUUAUAUGCAUGAUUUCAUAUCCUUGUAUUUCUCUUCGAGUUGUGGGUUUUGUUUGGCCAGCUUGAUCUAUGAUUCUUGCAAUGGGAGAAGUGAUUGGUUUUGGGUUCAUACCGUGCGGUGACCUCACCAAGUGACAGAAGGGGUAGCGAGGCACGCAUCGUGUUGUUGCCAUCAAGGGUAAAAAGAAUGGGGGUUUCAUCAUUGGUUUGAGUCUAUCCCUCUACAUCAUGUCAUCUUGCUUAAGGCGUUACUCUAUUCGUCAUGAACUCAAUACACUAGAUGCAUGCUGGAUAGCGGUCAAUGUGUGGACUAAUAGUAGUAGAUGCAGAAAGUAUCGGUCUACUUAUCUCGGACAUGAUGCCUAUAUGUAUGAUCAUUGCCUUAGAUAUCGUCAUGACUUUGCGCGGUUCUAUCAAUUGCUCGACAAUAAUUUGUUCACCCACCGUAAUAUUUGCUAUUUUGAGAGAUGCCUCUAGUGAACACUAUGGCCCCCGGGUCUACUUCACACCAUAUUUUCAGCCUUGCUCUUUUACUUCGUUGCACUUUCCGCCUUCAGAUCUCACUUUGCAAUCAAUCUUGAAGGGAUUGACAACCCCUUUAUAGCAUUGGGUGCAAGCUCUUUUGUGUUUGUGCAUGUACUCUGGACUUGACACGAUUCUCCUACUGGAUUGAUACCUUGGUUCUCAAACUGAGGGAAAUACUUACUGCUCCUGUGCUGCAUCGACCUUUCCUCUUCAAGGGAAAAACCAACGCAAGCCCAAGAGACGACAGAAGGUUUCUGUCGCCGUAGCAGAAGGAUUUUGGGUGCCGUUGCCGAGGAGGAUCAAGUCAAGAACUCAUCCAAGUAAGUGUCGCAAACUCAUCUCUUGCAUUUACUUUUUUGCCUAUCGUUUUCCUCUCCCCCACUUUUGAAAAACAAAAAUUUACAAAAUAUUUGCCCUUUUCUUCGUUUGCCUUUUUCGUUCGCCCUCUUCUCUCGCUUGCUUCCUGUUCGCUUGUGUGGGAUAGUCUACCUGUACUCAUGGCUAGACCCACCGCUCCGAACGAUACUCCCGAGAACGAAGUUCUCAAUUUCAAGCAAAAUGAGGAAGAAAACUUAAAGGACGCUUGGUAUAGGAUUUGCAAUUCUCAGAGUAGAUCUACUCGUAAGCAGUCUACUACCGUCCUGCUUCGCAGUUUUUAUGUGGGUAUUUCUCCUUGGAAUAGGUAUAUUCUUGACACCAUCGUAGGCGGAAAUUUCUUGGGUAGCCAUACCGUUGAUUCUUACGGAGCUGUAAUAAAUUUGGUAGGCUCACCCCCACUCAUGGUUAAUGGAACUACCUUAACUCUGGAACAUGUGAUGCGUAGGCUGGACGUUAUUGAAAAUAAAGUUGCUACGAUCGAACUCAUUGAGAAUUUGGAUAAAAAGAUCCACAAUCAAAUCAUUCAGUACGGAUCCAAGGUGGGAAUGGUUUUGAAAAAUUUAAAGAAGAAGGAACCCACAGUUAACGAAAAACUAGGUCAUGAUUCCGCUAGGAUUCGCAAACUAGAGGAUGUUAUAACCAACUUGGGUUCCGCUUUUGUCGCUGUGCAGAAUACUCCAAACUUUGCCCACAACAAGGCCACCAAGUCUAUUUUUGUUCCUAAAAAUAGUGGUGAAUCAUCUAGUAAGAAAGAUGAAGACCUUAAGAUGAUGAGUGAUCACGCUACUUAUGGUUGGAGCACCAAAGACGACGAUACGUGAUUCUAUCGCUUUAUGCCUAGCUAAGGGCGUUAAACAAUAGCGCUUGUUGGGAGGCAACCCAACGAAUUUAUCUUUUUCUUUCUGUUUUGUUGCGUCUACACCAUCAUAAUUCUGUUAUGAUAGUGUCUUUUGUGUUUCUUUUUGUGUUUGAGCCAAGAAAAACCUUUAUGACUAGUCUUGGUGAUGGUUGUUUGAUCCUACUGGAAAAAGAAUAGAAACUUUUCGCUCACGAGAUUAUUUUUUAUUUUUAUUCAGAAAGAUAUUUUGAGUUGAUUCUUUUUGCUUCUGGUUGAUAUGCCUUUUUCCCAGGCAGUCGUAAUUUUUAGAAUUUUUGAGGUACCAGAAGUAUACGAAGUAUGCAUAUUGCUACAGACUGGUCUAUUUUUGACAGAUUCUGUUUUUGUUGAGUUGGUUGCUUGUUUUGAUGAAACUAUGGAUAGUAUCGGGGGGUACUAGCCAUGGAAAAGUGAGAAUACGGUAAUCUGACACCAAUAUAAAUAGAAAUCAAGAUUUCUACAGUACCUAAAGAAGUGGUAGUUUGUUUUCUUGUGCUAAUGAUAUCACGAGUUUCUGUUUAAGUUUUGUGUUGUGAAGUUUUCAAGUUUUGGGUGAUAUUCUCAUGGACAAAGGGAUAAAGAGUGGAAAGAUCUCAAGCUUGGGGAUGCCCAAGGCAUCCCAAGCCAAAUUCAAGGACACCAAAAAGCCUAAGCUUGGGUAUGCCUCGGGAAGGCAUCCCCUCUUUCGUCUUCAAUCCAUCGGUAACAUUACUUGGAGCUAUAUUUUUAUUCACCACAUGAUAUGUGUUUUGCUUGAAGCGUCUUGUAUCGUAGGAGUCUUUUCUUUUUCUUUGUGACACAAUCAUCCUUGCUGCACACCUUUUGAGAGAGACAUGCACUCAUCGUGAUUUUUCUAGAAUGCUCAUCGUGCUUCACUUAUAUCUUUUGAGCUAGAUAAUUUUGCUCUAUAUGCUUCACUUAGAUCUUUUAGAGCACGGCGGUGCGUGACUUGGUAGUUGGCGUGUGCUAUGAAAGUAGUCCCAAAGGUGAUAGGUACCAAAAAAGAGGAUACAAAAACCUCCAUCUUCAUGUGCAUUGAGUAGAAAGAAAAGUUUUGAUUCCUCUCAAUUAGUUUUGAGACGUGGAUUUGGUAAUAUUAAGAGUUAUGUUAGUAGGGUGUUGUGAAUCUAGAAAUACUUGUGUUGAAGCUAGUGAUUCCCGUAACAUGCACGUAUGGUGAACCGCUAUGUUAGGAAGUCGGAGCAUAAUUGAUCUAUUGAUUGUCAUCCUUUGCAUUGAGGUCGGGACCGCGCGAUGGUUUACACCUACCAACCCUUCCCCUAGGAGUAUGCGUUUAGCACUUUGUUUCGAUUACUAACAAAAACUUUCGCAACAAGUAUGUGAAUUCUUCAUGACUAAUGUGAUUCCAUGGUAUAGAUGCACUUUCACCUUCCACCAUUUCUAGCCUCUCUAGUGCCGCACAACUUUCGCCAACGCACAAACCCACCAUAUGCCUUCCUCAAAACAGCCACCAUACCUACCUACUAUGGCAUUUACAUAGCCAUUCCGAGAUAUAUUGCCAUGCAACUCCCACCGUUCAGUCUCAUGACUUGUGCCGUCACUCUCAUAUUGCCAUUGCAUGAUCGUAAGAUAGCUAGCGAGAUGUUUCAACGUCAUACACCAAGCUAGAUCGUUGCACAUCCCGGUACACUGCCGGAGGCAUUUCCUAUAGAGUCAUCAUCGUUGUGAGCUUUGAGCUGUGAGUAAAUAAAAGUGUGAUGAUCAUCAUUAUUAGAGCAUUGUCCCAUGUGAGGAAAAAAAGAGAGGACAAAGAGACCAAACAAAAAAAGAGAGGCCAAAGAGCCCAAAUAAAAAUAAAUAGAGAAGGGACAAUGCUACUAUCUCUUUCCACACUUGUGCUUCAUAAUAGCACCAUGUUCUUCAUGAUUGAGAGCCUCUUGUUUCGCCACCACCAUAUGCUAGUGGGAAUCUUUAUUAUAUAACUUGGCUUGUAUAUUCCAAGGAUGGGCUUCCUCAAAUUGCCCUAGGUCUUCGUGAGCAAGCAAGUUGGAUGCACACCCACUAGUUCUCCAUUUGAGCUUUCACAUACUUAUAGCUCUAGUGCAUCAUUUGUAUGGCAAUCCCUACUCAUUCAUAUUGAUAUCUAUUAAUGAGCAUCCCCAUAGCCCUUUGAUUCGCCGAGUCAAUGUGACCAUCUCCUCCUUUUUGUAUCACAACCACCACCACACUCUAUUCCACCUAUAGUGCUAUAUCCAUGGCUCACGCUCAUGUAUUGCGUGAUAGUUAUAAAAGGUUUGAUGGAGCAUAGCCAGAUUAUAUGAUUUUGUAGGGAUAACUUUCUUUGGCCUUGUUAUUUCGAAGUUCAUGAUUACCUUGCUAGUUUGCUUGAAGUAUUAUUGUUUUCAUGUCAAUGGCAAACUAUUGUUUUUAAUCUUACGGAUCUGAACAUUCAUGUCACAUGAAAGAAGUUACAAAGGACAACUAUGCUAGGUAGCAUUCCACAUCAAAAAUUCAGUCUUUAUCACUUCCCUACUCGAGGACGAGCAGGAGUUAAGCUUGGGGAUGCUUGAUACGUCUCCAACGUAUCUAUAAUUUUUGAUGGUUUCAUGCUAUUAUCUUGUCAAACUUUGGAUGUUUUGUAUGUCUUUUAUAUAUUUUUUGGGACUAACUUAUUAACUCAGUGCCAAGUGCCAGUUCGUGUUUUUUUUCGUGUUUUUGACCCUUUUCAGAGGAGAAUUUUGAAAGGAGUCCAAACGGAAUAAAACUUCUGAAAAGAUUUUUUCCGAAACAGAAGACGAUCGGGAGACUUGAGAACCAAGGUAGAGGGACAUCAGGGACCCCACAAGCCCCCUAGCCGCAGCCAGGGGGGCCCGUGACUCCCAGGCUUGUGGGAUCCCUGGACCUCCUCUGCCCUAGGUAUUUCGCCUAUAUAUUCCCAAAAAUCCCAAGAAAAAAUCAGGAGAUCAUACGAAAGUACUUUUCCGCCGCCGCAAGCUUGCAUGCNNNNNNNNNNNNNNNNNNNNNNNNNNNNNNNNNNNNNNNNNNNNNNNNNNNNNNNNNNNNNNNNNNNNNNNNNNNNNNNNNNNNNNNNNNNNNNNNNNNNUUAAUUUUCUAUUAUUAUUUUCUAGGUUGUUUUACUACUUGUGAUAGAACGAUUUAUAAUAUAUCAUGAUUCUUUUUAAGGUUUAAAAGUAAAAGUCCMCUGUGGUCGGUUKUUUUUUUUUUGCCAAGUCAGCUCUUGACUAGCGAGGUCUACUGGUAGAAAGCAUACUCAAAACACUCUAAUCCACCUAUUAGAAGUUUACGCAAAAUAAUAAUAAUAAUGUAGACAUGGUGUCUUUUACCUAAUUUAUGUAGAAGUGUGUUUUCAAGGAACCUACACAAUUAACUGUAGAAAACUCGGCUGGAAACCAACGAUGGCCGAAAUAAACCAAGACAAGAUUGCAAUCUGUGUAUGUGGGCGAGCAAGCAAGUCCAUCGCAUGGAUGGGAGGUUAUCCACAUGGGAGGAUAAGAUAUGCCAUGCGGCGGCACCGCAGUGGCUGGCACAAAUCACCCACUUGGCUGGAGAUAGAUAAUCCGCCUAUCUCCGCUCGCCAUCCCGACCAAGGCUAUUUCGCCUUACACCGACCUCGCCAUCGACUUACAUACUUUUGCCGGCCGGAGCCACACGACCACAAGGAAGGAGCGAGCUAGCUAGCACCCACAAACAGCACCUGCUGCCGUCCCGAUGGCGAGCACCAACAUGGCGUCGGCCACCUCCAGAUUCAUGCUGGCGGCGGGCAUCCCCAGCGGCGCCAACGGCGGCGUGAGNNNNNNNN